CAUGGGCUAGUCGACGGUGCCAGAGCCAACCCAUGUUAGUCUUAGCAAUUAAACAUGUGUCGAGCUCAGCUCUAUCAAAAUCUACUAAGUAUAGCUGACCCUCUAACACACCCUUAAAUGCUAUUGAAUCAUCACUUCUUCUAAAGACAGUGACACCUAUAUCAGUAAAAAGACAGUUGUAGCCCAUUUGACAUAAUUGGGAAACAGAAAGCAAGUUGUAAUCUAAUGAAUCAACAAGAAAAACAUUGGAAAUGGAAUGGUCAGGUGAAAUAGCAAUUUUACCCAAACCUUUGACCAACCCUUGAUUUCCAUCCCCAAAUGUGAUAGCUCGUUGGGGAUCUUUGUUUUUCUCAUAUGAGGAGAACAUCCUUUUCUCCCCGGUCAUGUGGUUUGUGCACCCGCUGUCGAGUAUCCAACUUGAGCCCCCGGAUGCAUAAACCUACAAAACAAAUUUAGUUCUUGACUUUAGGUACCCAAACUGUUUUGGGUCCUUUGGCAUUAGAUACAAGAACUUUGGGUACCCAAACACAAGUUUUGGAGCCCUUGUGUUUGCCCCCAACAAAUUUGGCAACUACCUUGCCGGAUUUGCUAGUAAGCACAUAAGAUGCAUCAAAAGUUUUAAAUGAAAUGGCAUGAUCAUUUGAUGCAUUAGUGGUUUUCUUUCUAGGCAACUUGGCAUGGGUUGGUUGCCUAGAUCUAGAUGUCUCACCCUUAUACAUGAAAGCAUGAUUAGGGCCAGAGUGAGACUUCCUAGAAUGAAUCUUUCUAAUUUUGCUCUCAGGAUAGCUGGCAGGGUAUAAAAUGUAACCCUCGUUAUCCUGAGGCAUGAGAGCUUUGCCCUUAACAAAGUUAGACAAGUUCUUAGGAGGGGCAUUAAGUUUGACAUUGUCUCCCCUUUGGAAGCCAAUGCCAUCCUUGAUGCCAGGGCGUCUCCCAUUAUAAAGCAUGCUACGAGCAAAUUUAAAUUUCUCAUUUUCUAAGUUGUGCUCGGCAAUUUUAGCAUCUAGUUUAGCUAUAUGAUCAUUUUGUUGCUUAAUUAAAACCAUGUGAUCAUGAAUAGCAUUAAUAUCAACAUCUCUACAUCUAGUACAAAUGGAAACAUGCUCAAUGGUAGAUGUAGAGGGUUUGCAAGAUUUUAAUUCUACAACCUUAGCAUGCAAGAUAUCAUUCUUAGUUCUAAGGUCGGAAAUGGUAGUAUUGCAAACAUCAAAAUCCUUAGCCUUAGCAAGCAAUUUUUCAUUCUCAAUUCUAAGACUAGUAAGAGAAAUGUUCAAUUCUUCAAUCCUAGCAAUCAAAUCAUCAUUAUUAUCUCUAGGAGUGAAAAUUGAAACAUCACAAGCAUGAGAAUCAACCUUAGCAUUUAAAAUAGCAUUUUCAUUCCUAAGGUUGUCAAUUAUUUCACGGCAAGUGCUUAGCUCACUAGAUAAUUUUUCACAUUUUUCUACUUCUAGAGCAUAAGCCUUUUUAACCUUAACAUGUUUUUUGUUUUCUUUAAUUAGACAAUCCUCUUGGGAAUCCAAAAGGUCGUCCUUUUCAUGAAUAGCACUAACCAAUUCAUUCAAUUUUUCUUUUUGAGCUAUGUUAAGGUUGGCAAAAAGGGAACGCAAAUUAUCUUCCUCAUCACUAGCAUUGUCAUCACUAGAGGAUUCAUAUUUAGUGGAGGAUUUAGAUUUAACCUUCUUUUUGCCGUCCUUUGCCAUGAGGCACUUGUGGCCGACGUUGGGGAAGAGGAGUCCCUUGGUGACGGCGAUGUUGGCGGCGUCCUCGUCGUCGGAGGAGUUGCUUGAGCUCUCGUCGGAGUCCCAUUCCCGACAAACAUGGGCAUCGCCGCCCUUCUUCUUGUAGUAUCUUUUCUUCUCCUUUCUUCUCCCCUUCUUGUCGUCGCCUCGGUCACUGUCACUAGAAAUAGGACAUUUAGCAAUAUAAUGACCGGGCUUACCACACCUGUAGCAAACCUUCUUGGAGCGGGAUUUGUAGUCUUUCCCCCUCCUUUGUUUGAGGAUUUGUCGGAAGCUCUUGAUGACGAGCGCCAUUUCCUCAUUGUCGAGCUUGGAGGCGUCGAUUGGUUGUCGACUUGGUGUAGCCUCCUCCUUCUUCUCCUCCGUUGCCUUGAAUGCAACGGGUUGGGCUUCGGAUGGGUCCCCAAGCUCGUUGAUUUUCCUCGAGCCUUCUAUCAUGCACUCAAAACUUACAAAAUGCCCGAUAACUUCCUCGGGGGUCAUUUUAGUAUAUCUAGGAUUACCACGAAUCAAUUGAACUUGAGUGGGAUUAAGAAAAAUGAGAGAUCUUAAAAUAACAUUUACCACUUCGUGGUCAUCCCACUUCUUGCUCCCGAGGUUGCGCACUUGGUUCACCAAAGUCUUGAGCCGGUUGUACAUGUGUUGUGGCUCCUCCCCUUUUUGAAGCCGGAACCGACCGAGCUCCCCCUCGAUCGUUUCCCGCUUGGUGAUCUUGGUGAGCUCAUCUCCCUCGUGCGCAGUUUUGAGCACAUCCCAAAUCUCCUUUGCAUUUUUCAACCCUUGCACUUUGUUGUAUUCUUCCUUGCUUAGAGAGGCAAGGAGUAUGGUUGUGGCUUGAGAGUUGAAGUGCUCGAUUUGGGCCACCUCAUCCUCAUCAUAGUUUUCAUCCCCUACGGAUGGUACCUGCGCACCAAACUCAACAACAUCCCAUAUGCUUUUGUGGAGCGAGAUUAGAUGAAAUCGCAUUAAAUCGCUCCACCUAGCGUAAUCUUCACCAUCAAAAGUUGGUGGUUUGCCUAGUGGGACGGAAAGUAAAGGUGUAUGUUUGGAAAUGCGAGGGUAGCGUAGGGGGAUCUUACUAUACUUCUUGCGCUCUUGGCGCUUAGAAGUGACGGAGGGCGCAUCGGAGUCGGAGGUAGAGGUUGAUGAAGUGUCGGUCUCGUAGUAGACCACCUUUCUCAUCCUCUUGUGCUUAUCGCCUUUCCGAUGCGGCUUGUGGGAAGAAGAUUUUUCCUUCUUCUCUUUGUGGUGAGAAGAAGAUUUCUUCUCCUUCCCUUUGUUGGAGGAGCUCUUCUUCUUCUCCCUCCUUUUGGUGCGGGACUCUUCCGAUGAAGUGCUCCCGUAGCUUGUAGUGGGCUUUUCGCCGGUCUCCAUCUCCUUCUUGGCGUGAUCUCCCGACAUCACUUCGAGCGGUUAGGCUCUAAUGAAGCACCGGGUUCUGAUACCAAUUGAUAGUCGCCUAGAGGGGGGUGAAUAGGGCGAAACUGAAAUUUACAAAUAUAAACACAACUACAAGCCGGGGUUAGCGUUAGUGAUAAUAAAUGAGUCCGCAAGAGAGGGCGCAAAACAAAUCCCAAGCGAAUAAGCAAAUGAAACACGGAGAUUUGUUUUACCGAGGUUCGGUUCUUGCAAACCUACUCCCCGUUGAGGAGGCCACAAAGGCCGGGUCUCUUUCAACCCUUCCCUCUCUCAAACGGUCCCUCGGACCGAGUGAGCUUUCCUUCUUCUCAAUCAAUCCGGGAACAAAACUUCCCCGCAAGGGCCACCACACAAUUGGUGCCUCUUGCCUCGGUUACAAUUGAGUGUUGAUCACAAGAGCAAAGGAGAAAGAAAGAAUGCGAUCCAAGCGCAAGAGCUCAAAUGAAUACGGCAAAUCACUCUCUCUAGUCACUAGGGCUUUGUGUGGAAUUGGAGAGGAUUUGAUCUCUUUGAAUGUGUCUAGAAUUGAAUGCCUAGCUCUUGUAAGAGGUUGAGAAGUGGGAAAACUUGGAUGCAAUGAAUGGUGGGGUGGUUGGGGUAUUUAUAGCCCCAACCACCAAACUUGACCGUUGGCUGGAGGCUUCUGCCCGAUGGCGCACCGGACAGUCCGGUGCACACCGGACAGUCCGGUGCCCCUGCCACGUCAUCACUGCCGUUGGAUUCUAGCCGUUGGAGCUUCUGACUUGUGGGCCCGCCUGGGUGUCCGGUGCACACCGGACAUGCACUGUUUGAUGUCCGGUGUGCCAGCAUGGGCGAUUCUGACUUCUGCGCGCGCAGACGGCGCAUUGAAUGCGCGGCAGAGAGCCGUUGGCGCGGAGACGACCGUUGUCCUGGAGUUGCACCGGACAGUCCGGUGCACACCGGACAGUCCGGUGAUUUAUAGCGGACGAGCCGUUGGCUUUUCCCGAAGCUGGCGAGUUCCUGAGGCCGACCUCCUUUGGCGCACCGGACACUGUCCGGUGUACACCGGACAGUCCGGUGAAUUUUAGCCGAGUCGCCCCUGGAAUUCCCGAAGGUGAAGAGUUUGAGUCUGAGUCCCCUGGUGCACCGGACAGGUACUGUGCACUGUCCGGUGGCACACCGGACAGUCCGGUGCGCCAGACCAGGGGUGCCCUCGGUUGCCCCUUUACUCCUCCAUUGAAUCCAACACUUGGUCUUUUUAUUGGCUAGAUGUGAACCUUUUGCACCUGUAUAACUUAUACACUAGAGCAAACUAGUCAGUCCAAUAUUUGUGUUGGGCAAUUCAACCACCAAAAUUAUUUAGGAACUAGGUGUAAGCCUAAUUCCCUUUCAACGGUCUCGCAAGACUCUCGCCCCACUCGGUACAAUUACAAUGGCUCACCCAAGAGCCGAGGGGUUGUGAGGUUUAUCUAAACUCACUCAACAAUCUAGGGUUCACCUAGAGCAAGCGCUAAAGCGGUCUAACUAACCUAAGCACUUCGCAAAGCACCUACGCUAAUCACCGAGUGAUUCUAUUAAGCACUUGGGUGUUUGAGCACUUGGAAAUGUCUACAAUAUGCCUUGGUAUGUUGCUUGGGCUCCCACACCUCCAAAUGGCCGGUUGGGUGAAGUAUAUAUAGGCCCCAACUCAAAUAUAGCCGUUGGAAAGCAGUUCUGCAGCUUUCUGCGUCGCACCGGACAGGUGCACCGGACUGUCCGGUGGUGCACCGGACAUGCCACGUGUACUAGCCGUUAAAAGUAGCCGUUUGAGCUUCCGAAGAUGGCGCACCGGACGGUCCGGUGUGCACCAGACAGCCAUGUCCGCUUGUCGUAUUUUGGCCGUAACUUUUAGCUCCGAACUCCGAUUUCGAUGAUCUUGUACUUUUUGGAAAGCUUAUGAAAUUCUCUACAUCCCAGAGUUGAAGCCAUACCAGUUUGAGUAGAUUUGAUUUUGUGAAACACUUCCAAUUCAGUCAGCCCUUCCUCUCAACUUUGUCAAGUUCACUUUUGUUUUGCAUCUUUGUAUCUCACUUCUACUUCUUGAUGUGUUGGACUCUUAGCAUAUAUAAAUUGUCUUCAAUAUGACUUUGUAAUGUCUUAUAUGGGUAUUAUAAUGUCUUCUUUGAGGUGUUGCAUCCUCAGAGCCUCAGUCCAAUCCACUUUGCAUCAUGUGGACUACAACACACAAACACUUGGAAAAUACAUUAGUUCACAAGUUGUGUUAAUCAUCAAACAUCAAAAUCUAUUAAGCCAAAUGGCCCGGGGUACAUUUUCCUUACAACCACCAUGUUGUGCUCGUACGAAAUUUCAGCAGCAUAACCUCGCUGCUCUCCACUGCAUGACCGGUUUGGUGCAGCAAAGAAAAAUAAGGUUACACAGCUAAAUUCCUUACGAGCACAUCAUGGUGCUCACCAAUACCACACUCCAUCGGUCAUUCCGAGGCUAUCCAGAAAAGGGACAAUUUCGGACCGUCACAUGUAUGGUACAUACACAUGAUGCAUAGUGGUCCGAAUCGGGUGACACAUAGUUUUUGAAACCCUAACCGUGUAAUUCCGAUUAAAGUAAGUACUAUAUACAUAGUUGCAACAAUAAUAUAAUAGAAUAAAUGCUUACGUAACAUGACAUUCAUCAAUUAACAAUAUUCGCAACAUCAAAUUAUAUAAUAACAUAAGUUACCCCUAACAUAAUUCACAACAUAAGUUAAUCCUAACAUAAUAAAAUUAAAUUAACUCUAACAUAUCAUUAUGCAACAAAAAGAUAACAAAUACCAUCAAAUUAAUCAAUUCAAACUAAUAAGAUAAAUUAACCCUAACAAUAAAUAACAUCAAAUUAAUCAAUUCAAAUUCACAAAUUGAAGUUACAAUAGCUAAUAUCAUGCAUAAAUUCACAUUGAUUAAAAUUAUCAUACCAAAUCACAAUAUUACACUAACUCCAAUUAAAUAUUAGUUCCUACAUACAUAAAUUAACUCAUGUGGACGACAACGAGGUGGGUGCGAAAGUUGGGGCAGGGACACGACGAGUGAGUGAUGAAUGUCGAGAAGAGGUGCGCAGACUCGUGGUCAUCGGAGCGUCAUCGGAAUGGUCGAACGGUGGUGAGGUGGGCGACGGCGGUCGGCAUUGCACGUGGCCCCGUGCCGUGGAAUGGUGGAGGCGCUGCGGAGCACGGUGAGGGGCGAGGCCGGGGCACAGGGGGCACCGCCCGAGCCAGGGUCGAGGCCAAGCUCGAGGAACAGCGGGGGCGCCACUGGGGGCAGGGCGAGGCCGACAAAUGGAGGGGGCGAGGCUCGGUGGCGGAGGGAAGGCCGGACCAUGGCGGGGUGUGGUAGGGGGUCGGUGGCGAGGCCGGAGCACGGGGGCACCGCCCGGGCCAGGGUCAAGGCCAAGCUCGAGGAAUAGCGGGGGCGCCGCUGGGGGCAGGGCGAGGCCGACAAAUGGAGGGGGCGAGGCCGGGUGGCUGAGGCGAGGCCGGACCAUGGCGGGGUGUGGUAGGGGGUCGGUGGCGAGGCUGGAGCAAGGAUGGGCGAUGAUGGGCGACUUUCGGUUGGUCGGGCAGGGACUCCCUUAAAAUUAUCAGUCUCCGUUGGCCAACAAGCAGAGCCGGCAGGAGUUACCUUAUCCCCGUCGGCCGCGCAGCACGACCGACGGGAAUUGUGGCUCUGCGCGAGUCUGGUCUGUGGCACAUGUCUCAAAAAUUAAUCCUCGUCGGCCACUAGUACGGUAGGCCGACGAGAGUUACCUUAUUCCCGUCGGCUAAAUGCUUAGGCUGACGUAGAUUAAGUUAGGGUUUAUUUUAAAAAAUCUAAUUCCCGUCGGCCACGCAACACGGCUGACGGGAAUUAUGGCUCCGCGUGUGUCUAGUAUGUGGCACACGUCUCAAAAAAUAAUUCUCGUUGGCUAUUGGUACGGCCGACGGGAGUUAACUUAUUCCCGUCGGCUAAUUGCUUAGGCUGACGUGGAUUAUACCCCCGUCGGCUGGAAAUAAAUCGAUGGCCAUUAGUUAAUUCCCUUCGGUUGUUUUGAAAACCGACGGGAAUUAAUUUAGCCGACGGGGAUAUUCAGAAUUCCUAUUGGAGGAGUGUGGAAACAUGAAUCACACAUGUUGCUCUUCCUUGCGUGAAGGGCUGAAGACUGCACUCGAGGAACGGAAUUCGCCCCUGGCCGCCUACCCUAACCGAGCGUCUACGUCCAGUAGGUGUGUGGCGCCUCCAAGUUCCGACGGUAGAUGGCGUCGGCGCCCAGCUAUUCCAGCUUGUCGCGCCCAGGUGGCCCAAGCCCAGCAAACCACGACGCGCAUGCAACAUGUGAUCAGUGAUCCUUUAUCCCGAGUGUUUUGUAUUUCAAUCCUUUUUUCUUAAAAUUUUAACUUUUGCCCUUGAACGACGUAAUCUCAUUUUGGAUCCUUUUCUCGGUACCACAAACCACGGCGCCGUAAUUUAUGGCGCCGAGGUCUCGAAUCCACGCGCUUAGGUGGCAUCCGCCCCAUAAAUCACGACACCAAGACGGCGCCAUGGCUUUUCUGCCGAGAAAAAGGGUCCGAAAAUGAGACCAUGCCGUUUAGGGGACCAAACGUAAAACUUUUAAGAAAAAAGGGUUAAAAUACAAAAAAAUGUCGUUUUUUAAUUACCUUAUUAUCUAUGCAAUAUAAAAUUUACUAUACACAUGUUUCGUAAAUCAUAUGGUCUUUUUUAUAUUGUACUGUUGGUGAAUCGUUCGGCCCACUAUGUCAUAAUCUUGGGUCUGCCUCUGCAGCUAGUAGCUAAUGUUAUACUACCAUCUAUCUAUUGAUAUAAUUGGAACAGUGGCUUGAACACUACAGCUAUUGUUCAAUCUAUAAUCAUCAAUGAACAAUUAAUAAUAUAUUUUUAUACUAUAGGACACUGAGUCUACUGGUUCAAAUAUAUGAUAUCUCUAGAUAAAUUCUAUCUUUAUCUCUCUCUCUCUAUAUAUACAUAACUGUAACAGAUAGAACAUUAACUACUGCUGGCCUGCAGGCCAGCCUCUAUAAAUUACCAAACACAUGCAUCGUCUCUUUCGGUGUACACCCCUCGCGACAACAGUGAUCGACGACACACAUUAUGCCUUUCAGCAAGAAACAAGUGGCUGCUUGGUCCCAGUUCACCUUGGUCUUGCUCCUUGUCUCGCGUACGUAAGCCCUAAGUAUUUUUGUAUUGAAACUUUCUAGUAGUAUAUAUAUUUAUGCAAACAAUCUUUCCCUUGAAUAAUAGACAAACUUUUGUGUGUUUGCAGGCGCGGCGGUGGUGUCAGUGGCGUUAUGCGAGGCAGCAGUAGGGACCUUUUCUGCUAAUAAACUGGAUUGCCAAAGCUACUGCACACAGAAAGGCUACAAGAGCGGCCAUCCCACAUGCCAGUGUAGCAAUGGGCUGCAUGGGGUAUCACCGGGGACGACCAGCCAUUGCUUGAGAGGCCGUCACCCACGAGACGAUGCUGGCGAAGGGGUGGGAAUACUGUUAGAAUUAUAGGCAUUUUCCGUAUCAUUUUAAUUCCAUAAAUUAAUAUUAUGAUGAUGACAUAUAAAAGAUAAUUAACCAUGACAUCAAAUAUAUCCAUAACAAUAUGGAUCGUGAGAACAUAAAGCAUAUGAAUUAUAUAAAUCAUAUGAAUACGAUAAACAUGUAAACUGACUGUACAAUUGAAAAUAAACAGAUAGGAACACAAACAACGUGACUGUAAAAUUAAAACAGACAGAUCUAUUAUAUUACAAUAAGACAGAACAGAUAAGAUGAAAUCAUUCCUACAUAUGAAGCAGCAUAGAUGAAUAUAUGAAACAUAUAUAAUAUUCAGAACACAAAACAGUAUGUAAAUAAAACGAUCAUACCCUCCGAUGCGCUCUGAUGAUCCAGAUCCUUGACCAGCUUCUUUUGUCAUGUUGGAGAUGUUUUGGGCAGUCGCGUAGACGCUCCCCAAAAACCUAAUUGCCGAUCCCCCGUGCAAGGUCUCGAACGGCACCGGCUUCGGAGGCACCUGCCCUCUCGCUUCUCUGUGCGCGCAGAGUCACGAGAUGGAAAUACCCUCACUCGGCGGCUGGACUGUGAGACUGAAAGUGUUUCUCGCGUGUACCGAAUGACAGGGGUGCUCCUCUAUUUAACCUCUCGCAGAGGGAAGCUGAAGGAGAAAGGUCGCCGAGUCACGCCAAGAGUCGGCCAGCUGAAGGAGAAGGGUCACUCGGCUGGCUGACGAAGAGACAGAGUCACUCGGCAGACGUAUCACUCGGCUGACGAAGAGACAGGGUCACUCGGCAGACGAAGAGACAGGGUCACUCGGCUGACAUACGCGGUUAGUGAGUGCUAAAAAUUAACACAACCACACCACGCCCGCUCGCCUGCCUGCCUGCCUGCCUGCCUCGCCACGCCACGCCACGCCACGCCCGGCCCGGCCGGCGGCGGCGGCGCGCGCGCGCGCGUGUGGCACGCCCUUGUCCAUUUCUUGACUUCUCAAGUUAAGUGGAAUAAAUCCCACCAUAUAAGUCAAGGCAAAAGACCCUUGAACUUCCAAUGUGGUACUAUUAGUAUUCUCCACCAUUACACACCAUAGAGUUUAUUCAAUAAAUGGGCCAAGCCCAUAAAAGAUCCAACAAUCCCCACCAAACUCUAGGGUUUGUAAUGAUGAAGUAUCAGAAUCACAAUCCUUUGAUAUACCAGUGUUUCGAUGGAGACUGUUAAGUUGAACAUCCAUCUAGAAUAAGAGUUUCACUUAUUCACAACUGAACAAUGGACUAUGCCUUGAAUUGACAGUUUUGUGCGAAAUAAGAUUCACUCAAAUCCUUUGCUGAUACUAGGCUGCAGAAGGGUAUUCCCGCUGUUAGAAGCAUAUAAGUCACACUUCAGUGCCUUUCAUGAGUAUUUAGGGAUUACCCAAAUCCCAUAGACUGUGACUAGCAGUCUGACUCAUAUAGGUGUAUUCCUCAGAAGAUGUUCUGUAGGACAACAUCUCACCUUUAUAAGACUCUUGGAAUACAUUAAGGUAAAAAUCAUCCUGCCUUACAGAUAGGAAAGAUGUGCAUCAGAAAUGAGUUAAAGAAGGGAUCUUUCCUCACAAUCUACUCCUAGCUUGUUUCUCCACUCUACUUCACGGGAUCUCCGAUCACAUAGAGCAGGUUACCACUAGAGUAGAUCUCACAUGGGUCUCAUACCCAUUUCCCUCGAUGCACUUUCUAUCACAUUGCGUGAUAGACCCUUAGUGAAUUGAUCUGCCAGAUUAUUUGAUGUGUGGACAUAAUCCACAGUAAUAACUCCGGAGUUUUUCAACUUUCUGACAGAUUUCAAUCUCCUCUUAACAUGCCUUGUAGACUUCAUGUUAUUCCUAGAACUGUUAACCUUUGUAAUCACCGUUUGGUUGUCACAGUUCAUGGAAAUAGCCGGUAUCGGUUUUUCAACUACCGGUAAGUCCAAUAGGAAAUCACGAAGCCACUCGGCCUCAGCCCCAGCAGUGUCUAAUGCUGCGAGUUCUGCUUCCAUUGUAGACUUCGUUAAGAUAGUCUGCUUGCAAGACUUCCAGGAAACAGCGCCACCUCCAAACAGAAACACAUAUCCGCUUGUGGCAUAAAGCUCAUCAGCAUCAGAAAUCCAGUUGGCAUCACAAUAGCCUUCCAGCACUUUUGGGUUUCCGGUAUAAUGAAUACCGUAUGUCAUAGUACCUUUCAAAUACCGCAACACUCUCUCAAGAGCACGCCAGUGAUCAUCUCCUGGUUUCGACACAAACCGACUUAGCUUACUCACAGCAUAAGAGAUGUCUGGCCUUGUUGCACUUGCAAGGUACAUGAGCGAGCCAAUGAUCUGGGAGUAUGUCAAUUGAUCCCUUGCUAUUCUCCGAUUCUUUCUUAAUAGCACACUGGGGUCAUAAGGUGUUGGAGCAGGAUCACAGACACUAAAACCAAAGCGACUCAAUACCUUUUCCACAUAAUGGGAUUGUAACAAAGUUACCCCACCAUCAGCUUCUCUAACAAGCUUGAUGUUUAGAAUGACAUCAGCCUCUCCCAAAUCUUUCAUCUCGAAAUUGCUCGAUAGAAGAUUUUUAACUUCCUCAAUCACAUUGAGAUUUGAUCCAAAGAUCAAAAUGUCAUCAACAUAAAGACACAGCAUAACAGACUCACCCCCACCAUACCGAUAGUAUACACACGUGUCAGAUUCAUUUACAACAAAGCCAGCUGUUGUAAGAGUAUUAUCAAACUUUUCAUGCCAUUGCUUAGGUGCUUGUUUUAGGCCAUACAAUGAUUUUAUCAACCUGCACACCUUGUUCUCUUGACCAUCCGCAAUAAACCCUUCUGGCUGAUCCAUAUAGAUCUCCUCAUCCAACUCUCCAUUUAGGAAAGCUGUCUUAACAUCCAUCUGAUGAAUGAUAAGACCAUAAGAGGCUGCCACGGCUAUUAAUGUGCGAAUUGUAGUCAAUCGAGCCACUGGUGAAUAGGUAUCAAAGAAAUCUUCACCCUCCUUUUGGGUAUAUCCUUUGGCCACAAGCCUUGCCUUGUACCUCUCGAUUGUACCAUCAGGCCUAAGCUUUUUCUUGAAGAUCCAUUUGCAACCUAUAGGUUGACAACCAUAAGGACGGUCAACGACCUCCCAAGUUCCAUUAGACAUAAUAGAUUCCAUCUCACUCCUUACUGCUUCCUUCCAUAAGUCAGCAUCAGGAGAGGAAUAUGCCUCACUAAUGGUAGUUGGUGUGUCUUCCACAAGGUACACUAUAAAGUCAUUACCAAAGGAUUUUGCAACCCUCUGUCUCUUGCUCUUUCGAGUGACUAUAGUGUCAUCCUCCUCAGGGAUGUGCACGUGAGAAUCCUCAGCAUGAUCUAUAGGAAUCGACAGUUCGUGCUCAUGGGGAAUUAUAGUCUCAUGACUUGUAUCACUAGGUGUAUUCUUCAUGGGAAACUCAUUCUCAAAAAAUGUUGCGUCUCUUGAUUCCAUGAUAGUAUCAACAUACAUAUCAGGCACAUCAGAUUUUAUAAUUAAGAACCUAUACCCAGUGCUGUGAAAAGAGUACCCAAGGAAUAUACAGUCAACAGUUUUAGGCCCAAGUUUACGCUUUUUGUUGAUUGGCACAUUCACUUUAGCCAAGCAACCCCAAGUGCGCAAAUACGAGAGAUUUACUCUUCUCUUUUCCCAUUCCUCGAAUGGUGUGAUCUCUUUGUUCUUUGUUGGAACUCUAUUCAGGACAUGACAUGCUGUCAAAAUCGCCUCACCCCACCAUGCCUUGGAUAAUCCCGCUGUACUCAACAUGGCAUUCACCAAAUCUGUUAGAGUGCGGUUUUUCCUUUCAGCAAUCCCAUUGGAUUGUGGUGAGAAUGGCGGUGUCCUCUCAUGAAUAAUACCAUGUUCCACGCAGAACUCAUCGAACACAUUAGAGAAAUAUUCUCCACCUCGGUCGGACCUUAAACGUUUUAUUUUCCUCUCAAGUUGGUUCUCUACUUCAGCUUUGUAGGCCUUAAAAUAAUUGAACGCUUCAUCUUUUGUUUUUAAGAGAUACACAUAACAAAAUCUAGUGGAGUCAUCUAUAAGAGUGAGAAAGUAUCUUUUACCACCUUUGGUCAAAAUUCCAUUCAUCUCGCACAGAUCAGAAUGAACAAGUUCUAGAGGUGCCAAACUCCUCGCCUCAGCAGCCUUAUGAGGCUUGCGGGGUUGUUUUGAUUCAACACACACAUGGCACUUAGACUUUUUGACCAAGUUAAAUUUAGGAAUUAAAUUUAUAUUUGCUAACCGCAUAAGACAGCCAAAGCUUGCAUGACAAAAACGUGAAUGCCAUAAAUCCGACUCAUCAGAAAAAUGAACAGAAUUCACGAGUUUAUUACACACAUCAUGCAGAGAUAAGCGGAACAAGCCUCCGCAGUCAUAUCCUUUACCAACAAAAAUACCAUGUUUCGACACAACACAUUUAUUAGACUCAAGAACAACUUUGUAUCCAUCUCGACAUAGCAUAGAAGCGCUAACGAGAUUCUUCUUGAUAGAGGGCACAUGCUGCACGCUCUUCAAUGGCACCGUCUUUCCCGAAGUAAACUUCAGAAUGACCGUACCAACACCAAGAACAUGAGCACGCGACCCAUUUCCCAUCAACAAGGCGCCAGACCUCCCGACCUGAUAGGAAGUGAACAUAGAGGCAUCAGCACACACAUGAAUGUUUGCACCACUGUCCAUCCACCACUCAGGUGAAUUACAGACUGAGAGAACAAAUGGUAAAGAAUUACCAUACCCAGAUGUUCCUUCUUCAGUUUCAGUGGUUACAACAUUAGCUGAUUUCUUGUCUUGAGUGAACUUGCGAUCAGGGCACUCUCUUGCCCAAUGUUGAUCACUGCCACAGACAAAGCAUCCUCCCUUUCCCUUGUUAUUGUUGUUCUUCUUUUUAAACUGUGCUGGUUGAACAGGUUUAUUCGCGUUCUCUGAUUUGUUCUGGUUUUUCUUCUUGUUAAACUUGCGGAAGUUUCUCUUCUGCACCACAUUAGCAGUAGAGGUCUCCACACCUUUUCCAUUGUCCUUUGAUCUAGCUCUUUCCUCAACAUCAAGAGUACCAAUGAGCUCCUCCACAUUGAACUCUUGUCUCUUAUGUUUGAGAGAGGUAGCAAAGUCCUUCCAAGAAGGUGGUAACUUGGCGAUUAUACCGCCAGCCACAAACUUGUCAGGCAAAGGACAAGGAAAAAGUUCGAGUUCCUUAGCUAGUGCCUGAAACUCAUGAGCCUGUUCCACUACAGAUCGGUUCUCAACCAUCUUGUAGUCAUACAGCUGCUCCAUGAGAUACAGCUCGCUACCAGCGUCAGUAACUCCAAACUUUCCAACAAGAGCAUCCCACAGCUCUUUCCCCGUGGGAAGGAUGAUAUAGCUUUUCUGGAAUUUUGUGUCCAGUGCGCUAAUUACAGCUCCUCGAAAGAGGUUGUCUUCAGCCUUAAACUUAGCCUCAUCCUCAGGAGGUAAGUUGGCAGGCUUGCCCUCAGCGGCAUGAAAACAAGACAUUGCAGUUAGCCACAAUUCCAUCUUAGCUUUCCAUAUCAAGAAGUUUUUACCAUCAAAAGGAUCAGGCUUUAGCACAGCAGCAAAACCUCUGACAGAAAAAUGCCUAACAUUAGGUUUUUGGAUUGUUAGAAUUAUAGGCAUUUUCCGUAUCAUUUUAAUUCCAUAAAUUAAUAUUAUGAUGAUGACAUAUAAAAGAUAAUUAACCAUGACAUCAAAUAUAUCCAUAACAAUAUGGAUCGUGAGAACAUAAAGCAUAUGAAUUAUAUAAAUCAUAUGAAUACGAUAAACAUGUAAACUGACUGUACAAUUGAAAAUAAACAGAUAGGAACACAAACAACGUGACUGUAAAAUUAAAACAGACAGAUCUAUUAUAUUACAAUAAGACAGAACAGAUAAGAUGAAAUCAUUCCUACAUAUGAAGCAGCAUAGAUGAAUAUAUGAAACAUAUAUAAUAUUCAGAACACAAAACAGUAUGUAAAUAAAACGAUCAUACCCUCCGAUGCGCUCUGAUGAUCCAGAUCCUUGACCAGCUUCUUUUGUCAUGUUGGAGAUGUUUUGGGCAGUCGCGUAGACGCUCCCCAAAAACCUAAUUGCCGAUCCCCCGUGCAAGGUCUCGAACGGCACCGGCUUCGGAGGCACCUGCCCUCUCGCUUCUCUGUGCGCGCAGAGUCACGAGAUGGAAAUACCCUCACUCGGCGGCUGGACUGUGAGACUGAAAGUGUUUCUCGCGUGUACCGAAUGACAGGGGUGCUCCUCUAUUUAACCUCUCGCAGAGGGAAGCUGAAGGAGAAAGGUCGCCGAGUCACGCCAAGAGUCGGCCAGCUGAAGGAGAAGGGUCACUCGGCUGGCUGACGAAGAGACAGAGUCACUCGGCAGACGUAUCACUCGGCUGACGAAGAGACAGAGUCACUCGGCAGACGUAUCACUCGGCUGACGAAGAGACAGGGUCACUCGGCAGACGAAGAGACAGGGUCACUCGGCUGACAUACGCGGUUAGUGAGUGCUAAAAAUUAACACAACCACACCACACCACGCUCGCCUGCCUGCCUGCCUGCCUGCCACGCCUCGCCACGCCACGCCUCGCCACGCCACGCCACGCCCGGCCCGGCCCGGGCGGCGGCGGCGCGCGCGCGCGCGCGUGUGGCACGCCCUUGUCCAUUUCUUGACUUCUCAAGUUAAGUGGAAUAAAUCCCACCAUAUAAGUCAAGGCAAAAGACCCUUGAACUUCCAAUGUGGUACUAUUAGUAUUCUCCACCAUUAUACACCAUAGAGUUUAUUCAAUAAAUGGGCCAAGCCCAUAAAAGAUCCAACAAAUACGUCCCUAAUGUGUGACUGGGUGUAGUGUGUUACUAUUGGUGUUGGAACGGUUAGAAGAUUGCCCACUUUUUAAAUUAAGUUAAUUUCUGAAGCAAUAACUAUAUGAAUAAUGAAACAAUGAAAUUAACCACACAUAUGAAAAAAAAGCAUGUUCUCAUAGCAGAUUAAAUCUAUCUUUUUAGGGAGUAGAUCCCUCUUUCACUACCGGAAUCCGAGGCUUUGCCGAGUGUCGGCCUCUUUGCCGAGAGCCGCACUCGGUAAAGUUAAGCACUCGGCAACGAGCCUCUUUACCGAGUGCUGGACACUCGGCACAGGACCACACUCGGCAAAGACACAUUUGCCGAGUGUUUAACACUCGGCAAAGGCAGCGCUCGGCAAAGGGCCGUCAGCGGCCGUCCCCGAGCUGACGGCCGUCAGUUUUUGCCGAGAGCCGUGGGUUGACACUCGGCAAAGAGUCUUCUUUGCCGAGUGCCAACUUGUAGGCACUCGGCAAAGUACUCUUUGCCGAGUGUCUUCUCUAGACACUCGACAAAGUAUAUUUUUGUUUUUUUGAUUUUGUCUCCCAAACUUUUUGUAGUAUGUUCCUACACUAUGUAGACCUACAUGUAUCAUUUGUGGACAAUUAUAACUGUGUUUGCAAUAUCUAGUAGAUUUAGUUCGUUUAUUUGAAUUUCUUCGGAAAAUUCAUAUUUGAACUGUAGGUCACUCGAAACUUAGAAAAUCGUGCAUGCAAAAAUGAUAUUCAUGUUACUUACCAUAAGUUACGACCGAUUCCAGGAGCGUACCGGAAACUUCGAGCAACAUGCUCACUAAACAUGGCCGUGAACUUGCCAUCCACAUGUUUAAAAAUUGUAUAAAACACAAACAAAGUCAGAAAAUCAUGAAACUUGUCCACGUGUCAUGAUAUCAUAUGUACAGACUAUGAUAAAAAUUGUAGAAUGUUUGGAGAAAGUUGUGAGACACAAUGUGUAGAAACCUAAGAGAUCUACAUUGAAACUCUAUGAUUUCAUGUGUAGUUCUCUUAGGUUUCUACACAUUGUGUCUCACACCUUUCUCCAAACAUUCUACAAUUUUUAUCAUAGCCUGUACAUAUGAUAUCAUGACACGUGGACAAGGUUCCACCUUAGCAGGAGACGAUGUCUAUAUCGUGGCCCAACAGGCCACACAAGUGUAUUAUCUCCCAUAUGCGUGUCAAACGAAAGAACAUCUUAAGGGUUGGGAUGUUGUGUAUAAGGUAUCGCCGCACGAGAGGUUACCUGUUCCUAACGAUGAAGAUUACAACUUAGACCCGGACACAUAUGAUGGAGAGUUCUUCCAAGAAGAUGGGCUAGAAGGGCGAUUUGAGAUAGACUUAACUGAAGCACUUGGACAGGUCUUGGACAGUUUUGGAUUAUGCUGGGGUCAUCGUCGCCCCCCCAAUGGCAUCCUCGGCCUGCUGUGCAGGGAACACUUCCCUGGACUUGUGGAGUACGCCAGAGUGACGGGCCCAGCCUUCACCUUCGACCACUACGUCGUCGCCCCCGAUGCAGUAGACCGGGACGACAGGGAAUUCAAUAACAAGGCGGAGCGGGUGAAGCAAGAGCUGUGGGUAAGUCUUAGUAUAAUGUAAAAUAUGUCGCAUUCGUUGCAAAUUCUUGAAAUAAUGUAUGGAUACAUCGUUUUUGUAUGCAGGAUUUCUUCAGAUGCGAUGCUGGAUAUGAGGCUAGGGCGGAUGUGGUGGCCACCACGAGCUGUAAGAAGCUCGUCGUGGACAUGCACUAUGAGGCCCGCAUCCAGGCCAUCAUCACCUACCACGGCUCCGUCCUUGGGGAGAGGGUGACCAAACCUCAAGCCCGAACCAUGUCGUUGACCAGGGAGCAGUACCUGCAGGUAAAGUCAUGCAUGUUUGGUACCAGUACUCCAUGCAUGAAUUUUAUUUUAUCUUCUGAUAUGCACUUUACGUGUACACUUUGUAGAUGAUUCCACAUUGGUGCGCCGCACAUCCUCUGUGCUGGGAGCAGAUGGUGGAUAGGUGGUAUUCGGCUGAGUGGGACGAGGCGCACACCGCUAGCCGGAAACGGCGUUUGAUGAUGCAAGGCCCCUCCCACCACUAAGGCAGCCGGAGCCUGGGCCAAUAUGCCGAAGCAUGGGUACACCAUCGUUUUUAUUUAGAUAUAUAGCACUGAGUUAGAUAUUAUUUCUAACUAUCUCGUUGGUUUUCGUUGUAGUCGGCGUCACAUGGUGGCCGACCUUGCUCCACCUUCUCGGCCUAUGCUAUGGCCCAUAAGGGUAAGGCGACGUCCGACGUCACCUACAACCCGGAUGACGGGCCCGAGGCCUACACCAACCCUGUCGUCUACAUCCGCCUCCAUGACUACAUCGCCAUGGCGCAGGAGGUUCAUGGCCCAGACUAUGAUCCGAGCACCGAGCCGAUCGACCCCGAUGUGCUCAUGAGGGUCGGAGGAGGCAAGAGACAUGGGCGGUACUGGAUUGCCGACAGGGCAAUCGACUCGUCCUCCACUCCCACUCUGUCUCAGGUGAGAGCAAGGAGCACGGGCUCGAGUCCAGCCAUACGACCUCGGCACGACAGCUCACAGCAUCGCAUACAGCAACUCGAGGUUAGUGCUUCUGUAACUCGUCCUUUCUUGAGUCAUAUACCUUCUCUUUGAGUUACUAUAACGUUGGCUUGUAAUAUUACAGACCCAACUAGAAGAAGAGAGGAGGGAACGUCAAGAGAUGGAGGCGAGGAUAAUGGCGGAGCGGGCGACGGCUGAUCAGAGGAUGGCGGAGAUGUUCCAGUACAUGCAGAGCCUUGGCGCCGCACAGGGAAUCGCUCUGUCACCUCCAUUGUUCCCUCCAGUUGACCCUGCUCUCUUCCACACUCCUGUGAGUAUCAAAAUUGUAGUUAGAUGUUUGUAAUGCAUCUGGUAUAACACAUGCAAUCUCUUCUCUGUGCAGGGCCAAUCUGGGGCGGCAUCCAACAACCCUCCGGAAGGGUUCAGCCCAACGCAACCCCGGUCAAACCGCCCACCUCCAUGAGUGUUGUGUUUUCAUUGUUUUAGACUUCAGAACUUAUGUAUAAUACUUAUGUCUGUGUUUGAUACUUAUGUGAGAGCUUGCGACGUUUGAUACUUAUGUUUGUGUUUGAUACUUGUGUUGAACACUUAUGUUUGUGAUGGAUAUUUAUGUUUGUGGUGACGGUUUUAUGUUUGUGUUGGCUAUUUAUGUCUGUGAUGAUAUAUGUGAUAUCUUCUGUUUGUGUGGAUGAAAUACAAAAAAACAAAUAAAAAAGGUAUAUACUGGUCACUUUGCCGAGUGUAACACUCGGCAAAGAGGCGCUUUGCCGAGUGUCAGGGUCAUAACACUCGGCAAAGAGCUAAAACCUGGGCACCGGUUUAGGUACUUUGCCGAGUGUUAUGUCUCUGGCACUCGGCAAAGAGGCAGGCUUUGCCGAGUGCCGCGCGGAGCACUCGGCAAAGAGCCUGACAUGGGGACCCUCCCUGGCGGGUUCUUUGCCGAGUGUAUCAGGUGGCACUCGGCAAAGAUGUAUUCUUUGCCGAGUGCCUCUGGGUAGACACUCGGCAAAGGUGACGCCUUUGCCGAGUGUCAUGUUUGACACUCGGCAAAGAAGCCGUCUCCGUUACCUCGUCGCCGUAACGACCACUUUUCUUUGCCGAGUGUUCCCUGGCACUCGGCAAACGCCCGAGAAAAAGUACUCGACAAAGAAGGCUUUGCCGAUGUACUGUUUGUCGAGCCUUUUUUGUCGAGUGUCACACUCGGCAAAGCCUUUGCCGAGUGUUUUUAAGGUUUUGCCGAGUGUUUCGGGCACUCGGCAAAGGGCCCGUUUCCGGUAGUGUCUGUUACAUUAGAGGGGACGAUUAUUAGACUUGGGAUAAUCAUGUCUAAAAAGGUAGAAAACAGACUCCGAACUUGUACAAACGAUAAAAGAUAGAAAGGGAAUUAGUGCCAGUCACCACCUCUCGCGAGUCACAACACGGGUAAUCACGCGAAAAAAACACGAAACGGACACGCGUGUGGCUUUAACUUUCUCCCUCGCAUACUUGUUUGGUUCUUUUUAAGGAAUAAUAACAAAAUAAAAGCUAUUUAAGUUGGCUUCAUUUCUCUUCCACUUUGUUUUCAUAUGAGACUAAAAUUCACCCCCUUCCGCCCUUACCGUGCACAAGUGGGCUUUUAAUAUUUAUUUUGGAUUUCGUUGUAGAGUAAAACGGGCCAAGCCCAAUAAAGAUUCAUCAUAAGGUGCAUCACGUCAAUUAUGUUGUGGACCUAGCUAGGGUAGCUCACAGAAUAUAGACCCGUUCUUUCGUAUUGGGGAGUAUCGUCAUUUACGAUGAAUUUGACAUAUUUUUUCAUUUAAAUAUUUUCAGGGCCUUGAAUAUGCAUUGCGGCAUUUGUUAGCUGUCAUAUAAAUUGAGAAUAACAAUGCGCUAGCUAGGUGGUUCGGUCUCCUGUCGGGUCUCAAUUUGGCGCAUGUGUAGCACGUGCGUGCGAGCUGCGCUGCUACUAAUAUAGUAGCAUAAAGUAACGGGAAAGUAGGAUUCGAAAAAUAAAGAUGGUGACGCUAGGCGCUGGGAAGUGAUCGCCUGGGUGCUACCACUGUCGUGCAAGUUUGGUUAUGUUAUAUAAAUAUAGAUAUUAUAUAUAUAUAUAUAUAUAUAUAUAUAUAUAUAUAUAUAUAUAUAUAUAUAUAUAUAUAUAUAUAUAUAGAUAUAGAUAUAGUAUUUAGAGCCCUGGGCUCUAUUUAACUACAGGAAGCCCUGACCAGGUGCGCAGACCGCACCAGACCCUUUUUGUUUUAUUGUACCUAACUGUGCUUACGCUAAAUUAUAAUACGAGUUAUGCUGAUGUGUGUAUCAGUUUAUGCAAAUAUAGUCUGCGCAUAUUACGUGCAUCAGGCCCACGAUCCGGCCCACACGUUCACAAUUAUUCAGUCUCACGCCGACACUAUAAAAACACCCCCACGCCGCCAGGGAUUAGGUUUUAGCGGCGGCGGCGGUUCCCUCGGGCGUGCGAGCGGCGGUGAUCCUGGGGCCAGCAGCGGUGUCGCCUCGAGGCAGGCGACCGACGGUGGCGCUCCACCAGGAACGAGCGAUGGUGGCGCUCCACAGGGAGCUCGCCCGCCUCGCCGCCAGGUCCGUCGCGCGCCUGCCUGCUGGGGCUGGGCUCGGCGGGAGCGGAACCGCCGAGGAGGCCGAGAUGGUCGCCGCGCUCAUGGACGUCGCGGCCGCCAGCGCCGCCGCCUCCGUCGCCGUGUUCUCGGCCGUCGCGUCCGUGUCUGUCGCCGCGUCGUCGUGCUCGAACAAGAAGGCCCCGACGGCCUUCGUGGCUGCUGCCUUCGCCAAGAAGCCGGAGACGCCGACGACGGCCGAUGUCGCGCAGGAGAAGCACGAGGAGCUUGAGCGAUGCAUCGACGAGUGCGAGAGCGGCAGCGAGGUGGUGUUCAGGAGCAUUGUUCGGAAAUAGAUUGAUGAUGUACGAUAAAAUUUGUACUCAUUUACGUUGUUUGGUUCACGUUUUAUGCUGAAAUUUGACCAAGCCAAAAUCCGUGCACGAUCGAACGUGAUCAGUCUACGUUGUUUUAGCUAAUAUAGGAUUUACGCUAAAUUUUGUAUUCAUUUAUGAUGUUUUAGCUCACGUUUUACGCCGGAAUCUGCCCUAGCCAGAACCCGCGCAUGAUUGGGUGCACGCGAUUUUUACGCCGUAAUUUUGGGCUUCGUUUGCUGUUACAAAACAGUUAUAUGAUUUACGCUAAAUUUCGUACUCAUUUACGAUGUUUUAGCUCAGGUUUUACGCUGGAAUCCGCCCGAGCAGAACCCGCGAACUGCGGCUGUAAAUUAAAAUUUAUUUCCUUCUACUAAUGCUCCUCGAACCGUAACUGUCCCUUUAUUUACGCGAUUAUGCAGCACGUCUUUCCUUAUAUCAAACCGGUCAAAAUUUAUAUAAUGCAUGAUUUAUGCUAUCAUGUUACACAUCGUUAUGCAGUCGUAAACGGUGUGCACAUGGUAAUAUUCGUUUCCGUGAGUCAAGGUACAAAAGAUCCCUUCUAUGCAUGAUUUAUGCGUGCGUAUUUUUUCCUCCUGUAACUGCGCCUUUAUUUACGCGCACGAAGAACACGUCUUUCCUUAUCUUAAAACCGGUGGGAGAUUUUAAAUGUUUGCAUGGUUUACGCUAUCAUGUAUUACAGCGUUAUGCAGUCGUAACCGGCAAGCACAUGCAAAUAUUCGUUCCCGUGAUUCGUGGCAUAAAAGAUUCCAUUUAUGCAUGAGUUAUGCACAUUUGUACAUAUAUUUAUGCGUGCGUAUAUCGCAUGUCGCGUCUCAGGCGGGAUACGUGGCUAUCCUAUGCAUGGCUGACGCAAGUUGGCGUCCAGUGGGCCGAACGCGACCCGAUCGGCCUCCUGGCUAGGGCUUCGCCCACUAACGGAAGCCCAGGGCUUCCAUUACCUCUUCCCUAUAUAUAUAUAUAUAUAUAAUGGUGUUUUUAUGCGAUAAGUAAGAACCGUAGCAAUAUAUGACAAACUAACUACAUCCUACUAACUCUGUUCUCGAAUAUAUAUCGACCGCUAGUUCAGUUUUAAAGUAGUAAAAAAGAGAGAGUAUUAUGCAAGAGUAGAGUUGUUGGUGUCUUUUUCGGGCGCCAAUCACUAAACAAGAACCGCAGUCGAGCUCUCUGCACAGGAGCGGACGGUCCGUGACCUGGCGCAGGGCUUUGGUUUUUCGGUCUAACGGCCGAACGGUCUGCGCACCAGGGUCGGACGGUCCGCGCGUGCGCAGGGGCGGCGAAGGUCGCCGGCGGCGCCUGGAUCUCGCUCCCGGGACCGAAUUUUUUGUUUUUUAGCCCCUUUUGUGACACAAAUUUACGUUUGGACCCCAAAAAUUUUAUUUGCACGUUUGGACCCUAUGCUCGGCGCCAUAAGCUGUGGCGCCGAGGUAACACAGCUCGGCGCCACAGCCUAUGGCGCCGAGCUGUGACGUGGCAGCAACGGCUACUUGCGCCUAGGGCUGACCUGGCACCGACGUGGGGCGACGCGGCCUCGUAGCUCGGCGCCACAGAUCUUGGCGCCGAGUACGAAUGCCUAUAAAAACGGCCGCGCGGCUGGCCGAGAGCAGCGCAUUUCCUCUCAUUUCCAAACUUCGUCAAAAUUUGCUGGAUUCAAAGAUUUGAGUUGGUUCACUUCGUAGACCAAGGUAUGGUGCCCAACUUGAUUCGUUUUGUAUAUUGGGUUGUUAGUUUCAUAGUUGCUCAUAGUUUCAUAUUUUAAUAGUUUGUAUAAACCUAUUAUAUUAUCAUUUCGAUUAUUAGUUUGUGUAAACUUAUUAUAAAUCAUAUUAGGUACAAGUGAUAAUUAUAAUCGUUUAUUAGAUGAAAGACAUGUACCGAGAGGCGUUGUGGCAGAAGAGAGGUCGUCCUCGGGAGUUAUAUCCGGACGUAUCUAGUAAGGAUGCUCCUGUUCCUCCUGAACUCCCCAUGCCUAACUGUGACUGUGGCAGACUGGCUUGGGUACAUCAAUCACAACAUCCAGACACGGCUGCUCGCUGCUACUACCUUUGUGGCGGUUUGGACGUACGUAGCUUAUGACUUGUCACUUAAUUUUGUUCGCAUUCAUUAUUUUGUAAUAGUGCUUCUUUCCAUUAUUUUAGGGACAUCACAGGUGUUUCUUUUUCCAGUGGAUCGACGGUCCUGAUAAAUUUGACCCUCGAUAUCUUCUUUUCGUUAAUUGGUUGAGUGGAAGGACCAGUCAUGAGCAUUUUAAGCGUUGGGUACCUCCUCCCCCGAAUCCUCCAGCAAUGACGGAUGCGGAGAAGGAGGUAGCAACAGAAAGACGGAUGGACUCACCGCCUCGAUGCGAUUGUGGAGACCGUGCUGUCAUCGACGAAGACUAUGAGAAGCAGUUCUGUUGUCCGAACAUUGAUUAUGUGAGCCCAUUGAUACGCUAAAUGUAUGAACUAGUUAUUAUUUACAAUAAAUUACUAAUUUUUUCUCCUGCAGCCAUACGGGUGGCGUAAGUGUCGUUUCAGAGAGUGGUUGUAUGGUCCUUUGUUCCAUUGGCCAGAGCCAGAGGUAAAGGAAAAGAGAUACAAUCAGUGGGCGGAAGAAGAGAUCAAAUUUGAUCCAGUACUCUGCAAAUGUGGUAUUGAAGCUAAGUAUGGAUUAGUUCCUUCCGAGCUUGGUGUUGGAUAUUUUUGUGGACAUAUGGUCGAUUACGAUGAGGUUGGUAUUUUUUUUACACCAGCUGUAAUGUUAUAGCGGUACUUACUAUUUUUUUUGUAGGAGACGAGGAAAUGCAGUUGGGAGAGUUACGACGACAAAGGAGAGGUGAUGCACACAAUAGAGUCCAAGAGAAUAAUGGGACAGAAGAUGCGUUGUGGAUCUCGGCUCGUCGAUUCGUACAUUAACGAUCGCAUACGCGACAUGCGUAGGGAAGCAAAAUCUGCCUUUUAUGAUAGCCCGAAGCGUGCAGAGUAUAGGAGGUUGAAGGCGGCAGAUGAGAAGAGAGCACAGGAUGCAAGGGAAUGGGAAGCGGCUCAAGCCGAGAAACAGAUGUUGGAUAAUCUUGCUGAUCGCCUCAAGGGAUGUAAGUGAGAUAAAUGAUAUUAUAAUUAUGUAAGUACAAUUUAUUUAUCUUGACUUUGCUAACUUAUUUUUCUCAUUAUAUUUGCAGAGAUUGGAAGCGGCGUAAACUAUUUGGCCGAUGAGGCGCAUGCGAGAUAUGUUCAGGAUAAAAUGGCAACAGUUGAGCUGAUGGAGGAGGAGGAGGACGACACAUCUAGAUUGAGUGAGCUUAUCGCUCUCGUAGAGGCAGGAUUACAUGAAGAAGAGGAGGACGACACAUCAAGGUUGAGUGAGCUCAUCGCACUAGCUGAGGCAGGAUUACGUGCUCAAGAGGAAGAGGAUGAGUUUAUGUCUCAGGCCGCCAAAGAGGUAGAGGUGGCUUAUUACAAGAAGAAGUCUGAUGAGGCUGAGGCUGAGGAUGAGCUAUUCUCCCAAGCUGCAGAUGAAGCAGAAGCCAAUUAUUACAAGAGAACUGGUGACAAGUGUGAUGCAGGACAAUGCAGCAAGUGGAAUGAGGUUGUCGUUGAGGAUUGCGCGACGGAUGACUCCGAAGAUGAGUUACUCAUAGAUUGUGAUUCAGACUGAAGAAUUGUAGCCUGUUAUGUAGUAUUUUCGUAUCAAAAAUAAUUUAGAACUCUAAAGAUGCGUUACUUAUUGCUUGUUAUGUUUUUUACAAUUCACAAAAAAAAUUUGCAAGAGUUCCCCUUGUUUUAUUAACAACCACAGUUCAAAUAAUCACAUAUUAUAAGACAUGUAAGCAUUUCAACAUAUAAUACAUCACAAAAUAACAUCGAAUAUAAAAACAUCCACAGAACAUAGUUCUUCAUACAAUGUCCACAAACAAAGUCCAAAAUACAAUGUCCACAACACAUAGUCCAAAAUACAUAACAUAGUUCAUAUUACAACGUCUCCAGCAUGAGUCCAAAUCACACAGUUUUCAGCAUAAGACCAACAUCACAAAAGUAUCCAUUUCCUCCUAGUCUUACCCUUGCCCUUGGCCCCAAGAGCGUCGGUGCCUGGAGUGUAAGGGUCUCGUGGAUGCCUUCUACGUGGUGUCAGCUGUGAUGGCUGAGUUGUACGAGCAUCCUGCAACUGAGAUGGUCCAAUCUCCUCCUGACCUGAGGCGCCAGCGCCAGCGUCGUCGUCGUCGUCGUCCUCGUCGUCGUGGGCCACGUCCUCAAACGUGUCCUGCGUCGAUCGCGAGGAGCUCAGUCCUGCUGUAGAUGGUCCAACUGCACAAAUGGGAGGCUGAACGUCCUGCUGCAUACGAGGCACAGUCAGCUGCACGUCAACGCCCGCUAGAGACCGGCUUCCACACCGAGCCGCUGCACGACGAAGACGACGUGAUACCCUCUGUAAUCGAAAUAUUAGUUACAGACAUAUGUUACAACAUACAAAUAAACAAGUUUUCUUUUAAACAUUGAUACUCACUGAUAGUAACGAUAGCGUAGUACUAUCUGAAGUUCUCUGUGAGAUACGCUCAAGUUCGACAACAGAUACGAGCAUAGAGUUUCCCUAUCACAAGUUAAAACAUUAGGAUGCUCAAAACUAGACAUAAAGCAUUGAAUUGAAAUCUCUAAUUUUAGUAAAGAAAUAGUUACCACUCUAUCAAGGAUUGGAGCAGCCUCAAUUUGGGACCCGUGCCGAGCAGCUAUGUCGAAAGCUGUGUCUUCGUCGUCUGACGAUUCUUGCUCGGCGUAAUCUGCAGCUGUCCACUGUCCCUUCAGCUUGCACCUAGUCACACUAGCAUACCAAAUCAAAUACCUCCAGAAGUUGUAGUUUGUGUGCACCUGGUCGUUCUCAUAGUUAAGAUCCCCCUGUUGUUCCCAUUCAUCAAUGUAAUCACGGUGGUGGGUCUCGAAGUCCGUGACCUUCUUCUGUCUCUGUCUGUCGAACCUGCAAAAGUUAGAAACAUAUAUUAGCGACUAAUUGAUAUUUCAAUUAUUAGUUAGAAUAACAGUGCAUGUAGUAACUCACUUAUGAAGUUCUAUUGAAGUCGAGAAUGGCUCCACCGGAAACUCCUGUCGCAAUUCGAACUGUCGAGCAACUCUGUGGGGCAAGUGGUACUCAACAGCAUAAAAACAGAUGAGGGGACACCUCAUUAGGUAGAGGUUCUCGUCUAUUGAGCACAUGCUACUCAAUUGUAUGCUGGCGAAAUAUGGAUCAAGAUACGGUUGCCAGGUCACCUGCAAAAGUUUUAGAAAGCACAUGUAAGCACGCUGGUGUCGUGCGAUAAAAGUAGAAAGCACAUGUAAAAGAUAAAACUAGACAACUCACCAUCGAAGGAGUAAGUGCGUCGAGCUCGUUUGAGUACUCCACGUAAGCACGCUGGUGUCGUGCGAAUGGCUCCUCGACCUGGUCCCAGCGGUAAGCAGCCGUGGGCUUAAGUCGAUGUCCGGCUACCACGAACCACUCACGAGGAGGAAACUCUCUGGGUCACCCGACGGGUAUGUGUGCCCACAUCCACAACUGUAGUAGGUAGACACAUCCACCUAAGCUGGCGGUCCUCGACGAACGACGACAAGCCUCGCAAAGUUGCCUGUACAGAAAGGCCAACACUGCUGAAGCCCAGCUGUAACCUCCUGUCGUAUCCCAGUCAGUCAGGCAGGGCAGAAACAUCCAUGACGCGCUGUCGCCUGUCGCGUCUGGAAAAAGAACUGAACCAAAUAGAUGGAGAAUCCAAGCUCGACAAUGGUAUCCAACCGUCUGCUCGUCUGCACCAGGUGGACACUGCCCAAAGGUCUGCCUAAGCCAGGUCAGUGGGACUCCGGUGUUGUGGCUACCUCGUAGGUCAUCCGGAAGCAGUCUCCCAAGAAAGGCCUCCACCCUCUGCCUCCAACCGCCUGGUGAUGCCUGACCGGUCACUGGACGACCAAUAAUGCUGAGACCAAGAAUCUUCUGGCAAUCUUCAAGCGUCACGGUCAUCUCACCGCAGGGAAGGUGGAAAGUGUGAGUCUCUGGCCGCCACCUAUUGGAAGACAAACGAAUACAAAAUCAUUAGUAUGCAAAGUAGAUUUGAUAAUUGUAAAUAUUAAACAACUAGAGAAGUCUUUACCUGUCGACCAGAGCCGUCAACGCCGCUGGGUUGAAAGUGGGCAGCCCACGGCGAACCUGGUACGAUACGACGUCCAAGCCCGCCCUCUGUAGGAGAGGAGUGUACCUCUCAUCGUACCUCAUCUCCUCCAGAAACCGAUCGUGGGUCCGGACCCGCAGAACGGGCAACACCUAGCAAUCAAAAGAAUUUCAUUAGUCAAAUAUAUGUCGCAUAUAUUAAUUCGAAAAUUUAAUAUAUGUGCAAAAUAUUACCUCUCCCUCUGCGGCGAGACGACCCCUGUGGUGCUCGUCGUAGUGAGGGUCCAGCAAGUGGAACUGCGCCAUCCUGCAAAUUAAGAUAUCAACAUAUUAGAAUAUAAGUUGUGUACAAAGUGUAACAAAAACAUCGACAUAUUAGAAUAAAAUUUGUCUACAAUAAAAUAUAUCACACCUGACUAAGUGUCUAAAUGCAUAUAUGUGAGUUGUGGCCAAGUCUACCGCAUUUUCCGCAUUCAUUCUGCUCUGGGUCCACGAGAAAGGGGGACGCUCGACCUCUCCUACUGCGACCAGAAACCUGAUCCAUAACCAUGUUGCACCGGCUCCUUUUCCUACUACCACGUUUGUCCCAUCGAUGCGCUGGAUCAGCAACGUAUACCGGACCGGUGUACGUUGGCCAUUGUGACUCAUCAAGAAAUGGCUCAAAACGAGGGCUCCAGGUACGUACUAAGCUCUCUACACUGAACUCAGAAGGUAUUCUGCUCUCAAAUGCAAAGUUACGAUGAUGUGCGGUCGCAACAUAAUGAGAACAUGGAAAAUGGUAUUGUCUAGGUUUACCACAACCGCACGAGAAUGCAUCAAGUAACACGACAUGUGUCCUCGAAGGUCGCACCUCACCUUCCGAAGUUAUGCCGCCUAGUGUUGUUACCUCGUAUUUACCCAACUCCUCAUCAAAGCAUUGUACCUCAUGUCUAUGGGCACGUUCCUUUGCAUUAUUAAGGUGUGAUGUUGGUUUAGGUGCCCAUCUCUGCCCUUGCGACUGCAUUGCCUUGGCCUGCGCGUGUCUAUCAUUAAACCAAGCCACAAGCCUAUAAAAAGUGAAUGUUACUAUAGCAUUGACUGGCAUGCCCCGUAUACCCUUGAGCACACUGUUAAAUGACUCGGCCAUGUUGCUAGUCUAAAACUCGAACCGCCAGCCACCUUCGUCGUAGGCCCUUGUCCAUUUCUGUGGUUCCCUCAGCAAUCCAGCAAUCCAGUUCUUACCUUCAGCAUUUGUUGCAUCUUUUAGUUCCUUCAACUUAUCCUCGAAAAAUGAAACCUCCAACUGUCGACAUACCUCCUCAAAAAGGGGGAAGUUAGCCUUGCUAUGAUCCUUUCGAAGAAGAUUUUCUGCUAGAUGUCGAGUGCACCAUCUGUGGUGCAUGGGUGCGUAGCCAGGAAUCUGCUCUUGCACUGCAUUAAGAAUACCUUGGUGUCUGUCAGAUAUGACACCAACCUCGCGUCCAGGGCCUACGACAUGGAUGCGUACAAGCCGCAAGAACCAAGACCAACUAUCUCUGUUCUCCCUCUCCACCAAAGCAAAUGCCAAAGGAACCAGUGCGUUGUCUGUGUCGCUUGAUAUGGCAACCAACAAUGUGCCCUUAUACUUCCCAAGCAGAAAAGUACCAUCAAUAGAGAGCACGGACGACAAUGACUGAAGGCCUCUACGCACUGCGAGAAACACCAGAAAGCACGAAAAAAUAUCUCUCUGUCGUUCCUCCAUUCAUUAGGUUUGGGGAUGUACUCGUAAUGCAUGUCUGGGUUUUUUGCUUUCAUUGCAUUGAACAAUGCUGGUAACUUCUCAUAACCCUCCUCACAAUCCCCAUAUAUCAUCUUCCAUGCUCGCUGCUUUGCCCUCCAUGCUUUCCCAUAUUUGAUCCUGUAACCAAACAGCUCCGAAGUCAUGGUCAUAAUUGACUUCACCUUCAAGUUUGGCUGACCCUUCAAUAUCCCCAAAAUCAUUUUCGCAAUCAGGGUAGAUGUCAACUGACGAUGCUUAGAGCUCAGCUCUGUCUGGGCACAAGUGUGUGGACCUACAAUUUUGGUGAUCUUAAACUUUCCGGUGUCCUUCUGCCUUCAGGCACAUACCCUCCAAUUACAUUCCGACACCUCGCACACAACAGUGUAACGACGUUGUGCAUACGAAUGUCUCACCUUGAAUGGCCUCUUGCGGUUCACAGAAUAUUCCUGUAGCCAUCGUCUCAGUGUAGGCAGGUCCUUGAAAAGUAAGCCUACCUUAAUCUCAAUGCUGUCGGCGUUAUCCGGAGCCUCUAGCAGUUCAUCAUCACAUUCUUCAGCAUAUGCACGGGUGGAAUGACUUAGACUGCUAAAUUCAUGUACUGCAGGGUCACGCUCCGGACACAAACGUCUUAUGAGUUCAAUUUCUUGCUCGGUCAUUUCUUGAACCGGACGGUCAUCAUUAGAAUCUAAGGCCCGUGCAGCCUCAUAUGGCUCCUCCUCAUCCUCAAUCUGAACAUCAACACUAUUGGAUGCCCUACAUAUGUUGUCCAUAUUAUAUGACACAGGCACAUCAAGAUAAGCACCAUUAUCGAUUUGUGGAGAUCCUGCAUCGGAUGGAAGCAAGAAAUACCACAUUAAAAAGUCUAAUGAAACGAAAUAACGAUGGAUAUGAACAAUGUGUCAAAGACACUUACUAGGAUGAUCCUGAACUGGAUCCUAGGUUAAUGGGAUCUCUUGGGGGGUACGACCGGAUUAGAAGCCCCACAAACGCCAGGAAGAGGACGAGAAAUCCUAUACUCGUGCGACCCCGAUUGAGCAUCGGGCACAACAACCACUUCUUCCGGAAGCUCUACCAAAGGAGCUUCAAUACGAGAUGCAUUGGGAAUUUGUGGAGUCAACCCGACUGGAGCAUCACGAUGAGUAACAGAUAACGGCUGAACAACCACAUCCAAACAUGGUAGAAGCACGGUCUUCACGAUUCUUACAUAUCUCACCCAAUCAUCUUUUGAGCCAAUGGAGAUCAACCGUCGGACAACUGUUCCAUAUGUAAUAUGGGACAACAAACCCUGAAUUGAUAUUCCAGGGUUGUUUAUGUCGCAACUAAUCUCCUCACAAGCUCGAGCGAAAAUCUUGUCAAAAGAUGGUCUUUCAUCGAACAACAUGGUCACGAUCUUCAUACCAUCAAAAGUAACACUCCCAUACGCAUCUAUCCCCACGCUUCCUCCAUGGUAUAGUGUCACUAGGGUGUCCAUCUAUUGCAAAAAUGGAUUACUAACUCAAUAUCCAUUUAAUAUGGUAUGUGACUAACACUAUAUAGUAAAAAAAUUGGGCAGCACCUCCCCUAUAUGGUCAGGUUUCUAAAACCUGCAAAUAAACCUUCAGCGCAAUGGCUGAACAUAUAAAUGCUACAAAAUAAAUGCUAAACAAUGUUAAUAAACACUAACUACUGCUUACAAGUAAACCACAAACCUUACACUAGGCUACAAAAUAAAUAACUACUCACUAACGACUAACUAAUAACUAAUAAAUAACCUAAACCUAACUCAUUACUAACCAAUAAAUACAUAUAUCAAAUAAAUGGCACAUGACAUGAGAACUAAUUAUAAAUAACUAAAAACAAACUAAACAUUAACACAAAAAAUACAUAUAAAAUAUUUUAAAAUUACUAAAUAAAAUACCUUGAGCAGAGGGCGGCAGGGCGGGCGGCGCGGGGAGGACGGGCGGCUCGGGCGUGGCGGCGCUAGAGCGGCGCGGCGAGGGAGAGCUCGGGCGUGGCGGCGCUACGGCGGCUCGGCCGUGCCGGCAGAGGGGUGGCGAGGGAGCGGCCGGCGUGGAGGCGAGGGAGCAGCCGGCCUGGGAGCCGCCUCGGCGUGGGAGCGGCUCCGGCAGACGGGCGGCGAGCGAGCAGCCGGUGAGGGAGCGGCAAGGUAGCCGCCUCGGCGUGGCGGCGAGGGAGUGCUCCGGCAGAGGGGCGGCGAGGCAGCGGCGGCGCGGCUCGGGCGGCGAUAACGGCGGCGGAGAGAAAACAGAGAGAGUGGGCAGAAAACUGCGGUGAGGAGGUAGCCGCGCGAUUUCAUCCUAGCUCAGCGCCAAGAUCUGUGGCGCCGAGCUAGGUGCCACGCGGCCUGUCCUAGCUCGGCGCCAAGAUCUGUGGCGCCGAGCUAGGUGCCACGCGGCCUGCCACAUCGGCUUCGCCACGUCAUUGCUCGGCGCCACACUCUAUGGCGCCGACAUGUGUUACCUCGGCGCCAUAGGUUAUGGCGCCGAGCUAAGGGUCCAAAUCUGAGAUUAAAAUUUUUUAAGGUCUAUACGUGAUUUUACUUCUGUUUAAGGACCAAAAUACAAAAAAAUCGGCUCCCGAGAGGGACCCCGUCGGGGAGGAGAGAUUUUAGGUGUUGUCUAGGCUCGGCAGGCCGACCAAGACUCCUCUAAUCGACGUAGAGUCGAAGAGAAGCGGGAAAUUUGGGGAUUAGAAGGUUAAACUAGAACUAGACUACAAAGACUCCUAAUUGUACAAGAAAUAAACGCGAGAUGAACUGGUUAUUGAUUCGAUUGAUUAUAUCAAAUCGGCCGUAUUCCUCUGUAUUUAUAGAGGAGGGGGGUUGGACUCGUUACAAACAGACUCCCCGAGCUAAUUCCGAGAAUCUAGCCAACAAACACAGCAAGAAACUUGGAACCCUAAUCUGUUCUGCGCGCGCGGACCAUCCAAACCCACGGCGUGGACCGUCCGACCCUCUAUUUGGUGCUCAACAUAUGCCCCCUGUCUUUUGGCGUGGACAGUCCGACCCUCUAGCGAACCAAAAGCAACUAACUCGAUGUGAUCACAUCGGUUUUCUUAAGCAUCUUGCCACAUACUAGGAUGAUACUGCUUGAGGAAACGCCCAUUCAAAGCCUUGGGUAAAUCUUUGCCUUGCAAUGUUUACAGUAAAUAGGCGUUACCAGAUAUUACUUGUGUUACUUUGUAUGGACCCUCCCAGCUUUGCGACCACCUCCCAAACUUAUGGUCUUUGUUUCUUAAAGGCAAGAUGGUCCUCCACACCAGGUCCCCUACCUGAAAUGAUUUAGCUUUGACCUUGUUGUAGGCCUUGGCUACCAUGAUCUUGUCCUUUUCUAUCUUUCCUAAGGCUGCCACUCUUUUAUCGGUCACCUCAUCAAUACUGUCCAUCAUCAAAUUAUAAUAAUCACCGACAAUUAUGUCAUUUUGCCUGGCGAUUCUGAUAGCAUUCAAACUUAUCUUCAUGGGUAAAACUGCUUCCUGCCCAUAGACAAGCUCAAAUGUAGAAACUUUAGUAGCACGGUGUUUAGAUAUUAUAUGAGCCCACAAAGCUUCGGACAAAAUCUUGUGUCAAUUCUUAGGAUUAUCAGAUAUCUUCUUUUUAUCAAGUUAAUCAAUGUUUUAUUACCAGACUCGGCCUGUCCAUUGGCCUGAGCAUAAUACGGAGACAAAUUGAGCAAUUUAAUUCUAGAAUAUUCAGCAAACUCACGUACCUCCUUUGACAUAAAAGAAGCCCCUUGAUCUGUAGUCAUGGUUUGGGGAAUGCCGAAUCUAUGAAUAAUAUGUUCGGUUAUGAACUCAAUUACCUCCCUGUGCGUCAUGUUCUUCAGAGCAACGACUUCAGUCCAUUUGGUAAAGUAGUUAGUGGCAACUAACACGAACCGAUGCCCCUUUGAUGAUGAAGGAUGAAAUUCUCCUAUAAAGUCUAAUCCCCAUUCUCUGAAAGGCCAAGGCUUGAUGAUAGGAUGUAAUUCAGCUACAGGGACCAACUGUAAGUCGCCGAAUUUUUGACAUACUUGGCAUCCUUUGUAGUACUUGAAACAAUCAGCUAUCAUGUUAGGCUAAUAGAAGCCAGACCUUCGCAACAACCACUUCAUCUUUGGAGCCGAUUUCUGGGUACCACAAAUCCCUUCAUGUACUUCGGCCAUGGCUAAUAUAGCAUUAUCUGGGCCCAAGCACUUAAGCAGGACGUCGUUGACCAUUCGGCGGUAGAGUUCAUCACUCAUUAAAAAAUACUUGAAAGUUGUACACCGAAUGUUCUUAUCCAUCCUAAUAUUGGGAUUUCAUAAAUAAUUAAUUAUUGGUGUCCAUUAAUCACUUGCAUCGCCUUCAUUAUCAGCCGAAUCAAUUAGGAGAACUUUCUUAGCAACCCCGGACAAUCUGGAGCCUUCACUCGGAUGGUCCGCGACCUGGGGGAUUGGCCCUGUACCGGUUAUCAGAUUUUCAGUGUUGUGAAAUAUCCCUUGCUUUAUCCGAUAACCUGAUGCAUCUUGUGCCAAAUUGUUAGCCUUGUGAUUCUCAACUCUAGAGAUGUGCCGAAUACUGAAUUCGUUAAAAGAAUGAAUUAUGCCUCAACACUUUUCAAGGUAACUAUUUAGAGUACCAUCAAAAGAUUGAUAUUCUUCUAAUACAUGUUGGACAACCAGCUGAGAAUCACCAAAUGUCUUCACAUGUUUUACUCCCGUACAAUUUAAAAGCUCCAAGCCGAACAAAAGGGCCUCAUAUUCGGUUUGAUUGUUAGUGCAAUAAGUUUUCAAUCGCUAGAGAAGUCGAAGGAGACAUUAAUUGGUGAAACAAACACGAUGUCAAUUCCUUGCCCUUCAUUGCAAACCGAUCUAUCAAAAUAUAAAGUCUCGGGAGUAACAGUGAGGUAUGAUAUGUCUAGUUUAUGAGUAUCAUUGAUCCGAUGUUCUACAAUAAAAUCUGGUAUGACCUGGCCUUUCAUAGAUUUCAAUGGUUCAUAGGCCAAGUCAUACUCUACAAGUGCAUAAGCCCAUUUACCAAUCCUACCACUUAUAAUCGGGUUUUGCAACAUGUAUUUAACCAUAUCGAUUUGACUGGCAACAGUGCAAUGACUAGACAGUAAAUAACAUCUACACUUGGUGCAUGCAUAAAAUAGGUAUAAGCAUAACUUUUCGAUAAAAGUGUACCUUGUUUCAGCAUCCACCAGCCUCCGACUUAGGUAGGUCACCACAUGCUCCUUUCCUCCAGUCACUUGUGUCAGAACAGCCCUAAUAACCUUAUCUUUAGCUGCAAUGUACAAUCUGAACGGUACUCCUACUUGUGGUGCUUUUAAUACGAGAGCCGAAGACAAAUACUUUUUGAUGAGAUCAAACGCUUCCUGCUGUUCUGCCCCCCAAGUGAAUUUGGCAUCAUCCUUAAGCCGAAUGAUAGGGGUGAAGGCAUCAAUCUUCUCGGCUAGGUUAGAAAUAAAACUUCACAAAUAAUUUAUCUUGCCGAGAAACUUCUGCACUUCGACCUUACAGGUUGGAGGUCCCACAUUUUGAAUAGAUUUGAUUCGUUCAGGGUCUAUCUCUAUACCAUGUUCAUGAAUGAUGAAUCCUAAAAACUUACUAGCCGACACUCCAAAAGCACAUUUACGUGGGUUCAUUUUCAGACCAUACCGACACAUUUUAUCAAAGGCUUUGCGUAAAUCAGCUAUAUGAGAGCUAAACUCAGCCGAUUUGACUACAAUAUCAUCGAUGUAGACUUCCACAGUGUUUCCUAACAGCUCGUGAAAGAUCAAAUUCAUAGCCCUUUGAUAAGUAGCACCAACAUUGUUUAGACCAAAUGUCAUAACAACCCAUUCAAAUAAAUCAAUGAAGCUUGGACAUAUAAAGGCCGUUUUAGACGCAUCUUCCUCGGCCAUGAAAAUCUGAUUAUAUCCGGCUGACAAACGAGGAAGCUAAUAAUUCUAUUUCCUGAUGCAUUAUUGAUCAAUGUGUCGGCUAUGGGCAUGGGAUAUUCGUCCUUAGGAGUUGCUCUAUUCAAAUUGCGAAAAUCAAUGCAUACUCUGAGCUUACCUGACUCCUUCUCCACCGGCACAAUAUUGGAGACCCACUCUGCGUAUCUGCAAGGUCUAAUAAAAUUAGCUUCUAGUAGCCGGUGAAUUUCGUCCUUGAUUCGUGGGAGAAGAUCUGGACAAAAUGUUCUAGCUUUCUGCUUGAAAGGUCUGAAACCGGACUUAAUGGGCAGCCGAUGCUCUACGAUCUCACGACUUAAUCCCGGCAUCUCAGUGUAAUUCCAAGCAAAGCAAUCUGAAUAUUCUUUCAAUAGACCGAUCAUUUCAUCUCUAGGAUCAGUCUCCAGGGUCUUGUUCACAAAAGUCGGCCUUAGAGUUUUACCAUCUCCUAUGUUGAUUUCCUCCAAAGAAUCGGCCGAUGUAAACCCCUGUCCUAAUUUAUCGAGAUCUCUAAACUCCUCUAUCAUGUCUCCCACAGAGGAAUUAGAUGAUCCUUGAGUGAUGGUGGACUCUCUGGUCUUGGGGGCUAGAUCAUCCGCGAUUCUGACUUUAUGUUGUGGUAGAUGUCCGGUCUUAAAGACCAAACUGUUUUGUGAAAGUCUGGACCAUCCGGCCUUAGAAGUUGAACUGUCCGUGACCAGGGACUCAUUCAUUUUGUGUGUACUCAUCAUUUAAACUUUAUUUAGGAUUUAGCUGAUUUUCCAUCGGCUCUAACAUCACAGGAAUAAAACCCUUUUUAUCUAUACUUAUAAACUGAUAAUCAGAAAAGUCUACUCCUGUGAGACACGUAGCAGUCUCAUAGGUCCAAAGUAUAGGAGCAUCGACCACAGCAAUACACAUCGAUGCAUCAGCAUGCACUUGUUCUACAUCGUCGCCUACCCAUUGUAGUAGCAUUUGAUGUAGUGUAGAAGGUACACAUUGAUUAGCGUGAAUUCAAUCCCUGCCUAAGAUUAGACUGUAAUUUCCUUCAACAUCAGCGACGAAGAAUGCAGCAGCAAGGGUCUUAGUCCCGAUGGUUAAUUCAACGGACGUGACUCCCCUGGCUUUGAUCGAACUAUCAGUCCCAAUGCCACUGAGGGUCAUGUUGGUCUUGACAAGCUCGUCAUCUUGUUUACCUAAUUUUCUGUACAAUGAAUAAGGCAUUAGAUUUACAGCCGCCCCCCAUCCACCAACAUUUUAGCAAUCGAUAUCCCAUCGAUGUGACCGCGCACGAAGAGCGGCUUUAAAUGAUUUACCGAUUCCUUUGGUUUAGUGAAGGCGGCCUCUUUGGGACCACAGUAAAACUGAACAACAACAGGUUCAUCGUCGCCAACAAUAGUACAAGCGGCGGAAAAUGUAAUAAUAUUUACAUCCAUACCUAGGCGCUCUGGAGAAGCUUCGUAGUCGACUAGGUCUUCUCCCAAUAGGUCGUCCUGCUCCAUUGGUGUCGGCACGUCGUCGGAGGCGUCCUGGUGUGGUGCGGACGGUCCGGACUCACGGGUCGGACGGUCUGUGCCUUGUGCAAAUGGUUUGGCCUUUUUAGCCGGGCUGUCUGCCAUACCUGUAGGGUGCUGCACAAUUGUUAUUUUAUUUUGUAUUUGUGUGGUCGUUUGCUUUUCCUCAAUGGCCUUUGGUCCCCAUUUCUCUAUUUUUGUGGUCGUUUGCUUUUCCUCAACGGCCUUUGGUCUCCAUUUCUUUUGUGGUGGCGGGUACUGUGGAUGUGUGUCAUUGAAUAUUUUUUCUGCCUCCUUUUCCUGGUUCUCUUUUGCUCUUAGGCGAUGUAGUUUUCUCUUUUGAGACCAUGUCAGUCCCGAUGGGCACCAUCGGGGCAUGGAGUAUUUUGUAUCGGAUAUUUUGAUGGCAGUCGUGUCUUCUGUUUCGUUUGUGUUGGCCGAUUCACCAAAAAUCAUCGGCCCUUCAUUUUCUUUCUGUAUGACGACAUCUGUUGUACCUAUUUUGAUGAUGUCCUUUUUUGUCGUUCUUUCAGUUGCUGUAGGCAUAUGCCCCCCCUGCUGGAUUGGUCGGCCUUUGAGGCCGAGUAGUCCGGCAAUCUUGUUGGGCUUGUGCCUGGUGACCGGAUUGAGCGGCGCUCCAUCAGUCUUGUACUGGAGGUGCCAACCUAUUGAAUACGGAUGUUUGGGGUGCCCCCCAAGCGAGGUACUAUGGCAUCCCAAAUAGAUAUGGUGGCAGGCCCCAUAUUUGAUUUGGGACAUAUGGUGGAGGUAUGUAUGUGUAUGGAUAUGGCAUAGGUGGAUAUGAGGGUGGAGGUCUCCAUGCAGGUAUGUUAGGUCUCAACUGAAUAGUAUGACCUUCCAUUUCUUCUGAUUGGUGAGGCAGUCCAAUCGGUUUUACCUGUUGUUGCUCCUGAAUUGGCGAGCAAGGUCGCUUCGCUGGCCGGUCACUGGUGUCGGCCUUAUUUUUCGCAUAUUUAGAUAAUAGUUGAUCAAAGGUCAGGCCAGAUUUGACCAACCGACCAGCUGCCUUAAACUUAUUAGUUUUCCACGUACCUAUCUCUGGUCAUCGUGGUUUGAAGGUACGAGGUCGUUGCGGAUCUUGAAUAUUGCCGGACCGUCCGCUGGAAUUUUCUAGACCGUCCGGCAUAGUCCCGGACCGUCUGCGCCUGUGCGUCGGACCGUCCGAGAUGCGCAGUUCGGGCUCCUACACUCACCCCUUAGUCUGUGCUUGCCCUCUGUGCCGGAGGUUGUGAUGGUCACCUUAAGGGUCUCCCCUCCAUCAGGAGUCUUCUCGGCCACAACUUUCCUGCAAGAAAUCUUAUUACUUUUAUCGGCCUCUCGUGCGUUGCCGAUGAUGACCUCUUUGCCCUUUUCCUUAUCGGCUGUGCUAGGCUGAAUUAGGACCUUCUUGUCCUCGAAGUCGAUCAUGUUCAUUGGAAAGUGCUCUGUGUCUAUCUGCAUUUCCUGAAAUUUCAAUCGUCCUUCGUUAAUGGCCGAUUGAAUCUGUCGACGGAAUACAUUACAAUCAUUAGUGGCAUGAGAAAAUGAGUUAUGUCACUUGCAGUAUGCACAACGUUUUAGUUCGCCGGCAGAUAAAAUAGUAUGAUUUAUUUUAAUAUUGCCAUUUUUUAGUAAUUCAUCAAAUAUCUUAUCACACUUACCAACAUUAAAUGUAAAUUUAACCUCCUCUUGUCGUUUCUUUUGAACUGGCUGCAAGGAGGAGCAAGCCGAAGAUUUGGCCUGCUUUGGCCAAACCAUUUCAGCAGUGUAUACUUCUGUUGAUUUGUCGUCCGAGCUACUUUGGUCGCAUUCUACUAUAUGGACAUCAUGACGAAUUUUUUUGGCAGUUUCUUUGCUUCAACUUUUAUAGGCCAAAGCUCUUUGGUGUAAUUGUGCUGGCGUGAAAAAUUGUAUGCCUUCUAAUCUUUCUUUUAAAUAAUAUCGCAAUCCAUUAAAGGCUAAUUUCGCUAGUUGUUUUUCUGCUAAAUGAAUUUGAAGCAUUGGUUUCUUGUAUCCCAGAAUCUCUCGAUAUAGUCAUUAACCGAUUCGUCUUUCCCCAGUUGCAGGGCCACUAGGUCUACCAAAUCUAACACAUAGUCACCGGAGAAAAAGUGAUCAUGGAAUUUUUGUUCUAAAUCCCCCCAUGAUGAAAUAGAAUUAGGAGGCAAUGUGGCGUACCAUGCGAAUGCAGUUCCUAUCAAAGAUAACGAAAAUAAACGCACGCGGAACGCUUCUGUGUCGGCCAAUUCUCCUAAUUGUGCUAGAAACUGACCUAUGUGUUCACGUGUGCUUUUUUCUUGGUCACCCGAAAAUUUUGCGAAUUCGGGUAUCCUGGUUCCCUGUGGGUAUGGGUGAUGAUCAAAUCGGUUUUCAUAAGGUUUCUGAUAUGAUUGCCUGUCACACCCGAUUUUAAGGAACAAAGCCGGGUGCAUCUCAUACAUGCGCCAAAGAAGACAACAUAUAUAAUAAUAGAGUGUAUAGAGAUAAAUGUCACAAUAUAAUCAGAGUACUUAUUACAUAGCAGAAGUCUUACAAAAUAAAAUAUAACAGGAUCUAAAAUCCAUCCUUGGCGCUAGAAAGUCAACUGGGAGACACCACCUAGAUCGAAUCGAACUCCUCGUUGCGUGGCUCCUCUUGAACCACCUAUACUUCUCCUAUGGGGGGUGUGAGACAUCAAGAGUGAGCUCACACAUGUUCAUCGCUCAACAAGUUGUGGGGAAUAAUGUGACAUGAACUCACCAAAGGUGGGAGCUCAUGGAGUGUAAGGCUUACCAAAGAGAAUGGUUAAAGCUGAGCAUUGCUUUUAAAGUUGGUCAAAAUUUUAUUAGCAAUUACUAGAUGUAAGUAAAUACCAAACCAUAAUAACAAUACUAGAACAAAAUUAAUAAUAAUCCCAUGCAAAUGCAAAUGACAAAUUGAGUUUAGGUUCCAUAAAUUAAUCAUGCGAGAGUCCUGAGCUGCUCAUGACCGUGAGCUCGGCUAGUAUACCAGUUUUACACUCUGUAGAGGUUGUACCCUUUACCCACAAGUCAUGUUUCCCAUGUCGCCAGGGCUAGCUAGACCCUUAGACACUACCGAGGUGAAUGGCUGGGGAUCCACUACGAGGCCUUUACAAAGUUCCACUAGCUUCCGAAAACCCGCUACAGUUUAUGGGAAGAGCACUUGCAAGAAUCCCCCGUCUGACCGCCAUCGCAGCAAAAUCAACCCGAGAACCUCCUUGCAUGCAACUCCCCUACUGCCCUUGCCCCUUUCGAGUAAGGUAGUCUUCCACUAGCUUUCCUAAUUAGUUAGCCAAGGGGUCCCAUUCCUCCCUUGUGGUGGCACGUGUUUCUCAAGUUAAGCUCCAUGUUCCAAUUAACAUUAAAGAUGAUCUUGACAUGAACAUAAGUAGAAUAACAAAAACAAUUGGAACAUGGAUAUAAUGUAGUAUUAAUCCCAAAACCAUGUAAAGCAAUAGCAAAAACUACCCAUGUGAUUUAGGGGUAGACAAGGUAAACAGGAUAAACAGACUAGGGUGACCUAUUGGGUCCCAUCAAAAUUAAACCUGUGCAUUGAAUAGUGAUAAUAAAGAAUAUUAUUGAGUAAACAAAAGUGAUCAAGGGCACAACUUGCCUGGCACUUGAGAUUCUAGUUACCAGGGUGAUUCUUCAGAUCCUCGUGACCGCACUGCUAGUCGUAGCAAUACAAACAUAGAUGCCCAAUCCUUGGCCACAUGCAUCACAAUAAAUAUCAAAUCCCUUUUGUAGAUCUGGCAUAACCAACACUGGUGGCGACAUCAGUCUCUUCUUUAAUUGAUCAAAGCUAUCUUGGCACUUUUCGUCCAACUUAAACUCUCUUCCCUUCUCCAGAAGUGAGGUCAUAGGCUUAGCAAUCUUAGAAAAUCCUUCAAUAAAUCUCCGAUAAUAUCCUGCAAGUCCCAAGAAACUAUGUAUCUCCGUAACUGUAGUGGGUAUGCUCCACGCCACUAUCUCCUUGACUUUAGCAGGAUCCACUGAUAUCCUUCCAUGAUAUGUUCAAGGAAUGGCAUCUCAUCAAUCUAGAACUCGCAUUUGCUAUACUUGGCAUGAAGUUGAUUAUCUCGUAGCUUCUGUAGCACCAAUCUCAAAUGUUCCUCAUGAUCACUAUCACUCUUGGAAUAAAUAAGAAUAUCAUCGAUGAAAACCACGACGAAUCUGUCCAGAUCAUGAACACCUUAUUCUUCAGAUCCAUAAAAUAGGCUGGUGCAUUAGUUAGUCCAAAUGACAUAACGGUGAACUCAUAUAAACCAUAUCGGGUCGAGAAAUCCGUCUUGGGAAUAUCCGAUGGCCUAAUCUUCAUUUGGUGAUAACCCGAUCGGAGAUCAAUCUUCGAGAAUACCCUUGCACCUCUCAUCUGAUCAAAUAAAUCUUCAAUGCGGGGUAAUGGAUACUUGUUCUUCACAGUGACAUCAUUAAGGGUCCUAUAAUCCACGCACAUCCCUUGCGAUCCAUCUUUCUUCUGUAUAAAUAGAACUGGUGCUCCACAGGGUGAAGAAUUCGAACGAAUGUACCCAGCCUCUUGUAACUCUGUUAACUGCUUCUUAAGUUCUUUUGAUUCUUCUAUAGACAUCCUGUAUGACCGUUUGGGAGUAGGAGUAGUCCCAGGUAAGAGAUCAAUGACAAACUGAACUUCCCUAUCUGAGGGCAUCCCUAAUAACUCCUCUGGAAAGACAUCCGAAAAAUCCCUAACUGCACGGAUGUUGUCAUCCAGAAACUUCUCAUCUACUAAGAAUGCCGCUAGUCUAAUGGUGGUAGUUACUGCAAUUUCAACUUCAAAUCUUUCUCCUUUGGAACUGGCGAGUUCUAAGGUUCCCUUAGCACAAUGUAUAUACUGUCUUUGCCUUUCUUAACCAUGACAUACCAAGGAUCACGUCUAAAGUGCUCUCUUCUAACACUAUAGGGGUAGGCCAUCUGGGUUAGAAAUACAGGGUAAGAAAGGAAGAAUUGUAGACAAGGCGAGUAAUUAUGAGGAAUGUUACUGCGGGGGAUUUAUUAGCUAAGUAUAUUAGUGUGUUAUCCACUAAAGCGAAUACAUUACCUUAUGGUGGUACAUGCUAAGAUGCCCAACUAUAAUGUUUCAAUCAAUCAAAGAAGCAAAUCAAGCAGUUAUCAUCAGAACAAUCAACCAACAUUUUUUAAUAGAGAAAAUAGUUUUAAUUUUUGUCUUAGGUGUCCUAUCUCUUAAAAAGUUCAUAAAUGUAGGAUUCCAAGGUAUAAAAUCCAUCUUGUCUUAGAACAGGAAAGAUAAGAGUAAUCAGAGUAUGACAACACAAGGUGAGACAGGAUGAAGAUAAGAUAAAUAUAGAAUGAAUCAGAGUAAGGUAAGUAGGUAAGGAUUUGUCCAUUUCUAUCUAGGUUUCGUCCUACAGUCAACAUUUCCUCUGAUACCACUUCUGUCACACUCGGUUUUAAGGAACAAAGCCGGGUGCAUCUCAUACAUGCGCCAAAGAAGACAAUAUAUAUAAUAACAGAGUGUAUAGAGAUAAAUGUCACAAUAUAAUCAGAGUACUUAUUAUAUAGCGGAAGUCUUACAAAAUAAAAAUAUAACAGGAUCUAAAAUCCAUCCUUGGCGCCAGAAAGUCAACUAGGAGACACCACCUAGAUCGAAUCGAACUCCUCGUUGCGUGGCUCCUCUUGAACCACCUGUACUUCUCCUGUGGGGGGUGUGAGACAGCAAGAGUGAGCUCACACAUGUUCAUCGCUCCAAAAGUUGUGGGGAAUAAUGUGACAUGACCUCACUAAAGGUGGGAGCUAAUGAAGUGUAAUGCUUACCAAAGAGAAUGGUUAAAGCUGAGCAUUGCUUUUAAAGUUGGUCAAAAUUUUAUUAGCAAUUACUAGAUGUAAGUAAAUACCAAAACAAUAAUAACAAUAAUAGAACAAAAUUAAUAAUAAUCCCAUGCAAAUGCAAAUGACAAAUUGAGUUUAGGUUCCAUAAAUUAAUCAUGCGAGAAUCCUGAGCUGCUCAUGACCGUGAGCUCGGCUAGUAUACCAGUUUUACACUCUGCAGAGGUUGUACCCUUUACCCACAAGUCGUGUUUCCCAUGUUGCCAGGGCUAGCUAGACACUUAGACACUACCGAGGUGAAUGGCUAGGGAUCCACUACGAGGCCUUUACAAAGUUCCACUAGCUUCCGAAAACCCGCUACAGUUUAUGGGAAGAGCACUUGCAAGAAUCCCCCGUCUGACCGCCAUCGCAGCAAAAUCAACCCGAGAACCUCCUUGCAUGCAACUCCCGUACUGCCCUUGCCCCUUUCGGGUAAGGUAGUCUUCCACUAGCUUUCCUAAUUAGUUAGCCAAGGGGUCCCAUUCCUCCCUUGUGGUGGCACGUGUUUCUCAAGUUAAGCUCCAUGUUCCAAUUAACAUUAAAUAUGAUCUUGACAUGAACAUAAGUAGAAUAACAAAAACAAUUGGAACAUGGAUAUAAUGUAGUAUUAAUCCCAAAACCAUGUAAAGCAAUAGCAAAAACUACCCAUGUGAUUUAGGGGUAGACAAGGUAAACAGGAUAAACAGACUAGGGUGACCUAUUGGGUCCCAUCAAAAUUAACCUAUGCAUUGAAUAGCGAUAAUAAAGAAUAUUAUUGGGUAAACAAAAGUGAUCAAGGGCACAACUUGCCUGGCACUUGAUAUUCCAGUUACCAGGGUGAUUCUUCAGAUCCUCGUGACCGCACUGCUAGUCGUAGCAAUACAAACAUACAUGGUAUAGAUAAAAUUAACAUCACACCAAACAUAAGGACAUACUGCAUAAUAAUUGUCUACGCGUUGCUACAAGAUUGCGGGAUCGAGAACUACUAAGGUCGGAGUUACGAUUAAGGAGUUGUGAUUCUAUAGAAGAUCUAUGUGAUUAAAUUAUUACACUAUGUCAAAAAUUGAUCAGUGUAAAUCAUGUGAGAGGUUAUUCUAUAAAUAAUUAUCUCCACUUUAAUCUAAAUCAUUAUUUGAUUAAGGAUCACCUGGUCAAAUCAUAUCCAUAAGAUGAGAAUUAAUAUUAAGGCAGUUAAUCCUAUUAGUUACCUAUUUAUAAAAGUAGGGGAUAUCAUAUAACAAGUGUUGCUACUGCGUAGUAAAUAUUUAUACGAUGCUAACGCAACUGGAACAAAUCAAUUCGGAAUUAAAAAGGGGAAGUUAUGAAUUUCUAGAGAUUCUAUGUGUUUUAUACAAGAUUAAAUAGGAUCUAAAUUUUUAAUGUGAUUUUCAUGUCUAAACAGAGACACUAGAUGAUAAAAAAUAAUAUUAUAAAAUUAUAAGGUCUGGAAUGAGUCAAAAAGGAGUUAGAAUGAAUUUAAUAUGAGUUAUACAAGUUUCUAGAAUUAUUUGUGUAUUAAAAAUCAAUUUCUGAAUUUAUUUAUUUGAUUUCACGAGCUCUCGACAGAGCAACAAAUACUAAAAAGUCCGAGGUUAGUAUCGCAAAAGUCCCGCAGACUCAGGUUACUACUACUGUGGAUGGCGGGUUGAUUUAUCCAAAUCCCAGGGACUCUUUAAGAAAAUAUGUUGCGAAGGGUAUCGGUGGAGAUGAGCUGUUGGAUCCGAUUUGGACGGCACAGAUUAGAUCUGACGUCCCUCAACCCCGCGAGUGACCCAGGCCAUCGGAUCCCCGAUGGAUGAUUCAUAUUUAAUAAUGACUAGAUCGAAUCGCACCCGCUAGAUCUGAAUCGAACGCCGCAGAUUGACUCGGUUGAAUCGGUAUCUAGGGUACAAUCUCGACCAUACACUGGUUAAUCUACAGUCAGCAGUUGUCCUCCGCAAACCCCGGUCAGUGGGGCGGUGGCGCCCUCAUAGCUACGGCAAGGUUCUCGCCAGUGAUUGCCAAAUCGGCCACCAGACGACCCAUUUUUUUUCGCCAGAGACGACCAUAACAUGUGCAAUGAGGUGAGCACCGUGGGGGUGACUUACAGAAGGCGCAGAGCAGUGACGAGUAUUGGCCACGACACGAGGCGGAUCCGCGGCGCAUUUUUGCAACGACGGGGAAUCCCAAGGUCCCCAAUUGCUAAUCCUGCCCGAUGAAGCCGCGAACACCAUCCUCGUGGUCCAGUGAAGCCCCCAGGCAUGACACCGAGGACGCGGUGGCGGUGAGCGCACGGGUCGACUUAUGGCGGUUGGUUUCUGGCGACCUUGCGAGGCAGACCGACAGUGUGGCCACGCGGCGUGGUGGCAGGAUAGAAAGAGGAGGAGGGCGCGGUGCAAUUUUAUCCUGGCACGAGCAACGACAGACGAGGAUACCAACGAGAUUCACUGCGUCAUCACGAACUCCAGGGGAACCUGCGGACUUGCGAUGCUAAGAAUGGAAGCGACCGCGCACGACAAGGGUUGUGAGGCUGACAGCCUUGCUUGUAGCACCAGAUGAGCCAAAGUUGGGAGGUGGUUGAACGGAACUGUGAGAUCCGCGCCGGAGCUUCCGGAGGAUAGGAUCAUCGGGGAAGAUCCACAGUGAACAGGAGGGGUGAAAGGGAAAUAGGGUCAAACCUUUUCCAAAUGAAUUUUGGUGGUUGAAUUGCCCAACACAAAUUAUUGGACUAACUAGUUUGAUCUAGAAUAUAUGUUCUACAGGUGCCAAAGGUUCACAACAAACCAAUACAAAGACAAAAGAAAGGGUUCAAAACAAAGGAGCAAAGUUAAACCGAAGGCUGCCCUGGUCUGGCGCACUGGACUAUCCGGUGCACCACCGGACAGUGUCUGGUGCACCAGGGUGGAUCAACUCAAACUUGCCAGCCUCAGGAAUUUGGGGAGGCCGCUCCGCUAUAAUUCACCGGACUGUCCGGUGUGCCAGCGGAGCAACGGCUACUUCGCACCAACGGUCGUCUGCAAGUGAACAGUAAAAGCAAACAGUACACGCCUGCGCGCAGAAGUCAGAGCAGGCGCUAGAAGACGCACCAGACAGUCUACAGGACCUGUCCGGUGCACCACCGGACUGUCCGGUGGCCCCACAAGUCAGAGCUCCAACGGUCGGAACCCAACAGCCUGGUGACGUGGCUGGCGCACCGGACAGUGUCCGGUGGCGCAUCGGACUAUCUGGUGCGCCAUUCGACAGAAGCCUUCACUAACGGCCAUAUUGGUGGUUGGGGCUAUAAAUACCCCCCAACCACCACUCUUCAAGGCAUCCAAGCAUUCACUACACCUCAUUCAAUACAAGAGCAAUACACAACACUCCAAGACACAAAUCAAAGCCUCCGAUCGAAUCAAAGUCCCCAAUUCAACUCUAGUAUUUAGGACUUGUGAGGAGAUCGACUUGUGUUCCUUUGUUGCUCUUGUUGCUUGGUUGGCUUUCUUCUUUCUCUCAUUCUUACUCUCAAAACCUUGUAAGCGAAGCAAGAGACACCAAUUGUGUGGUGGUCCUUGCGGGGUCUAAGUGACCCGAGAAAUCAAGGAAGGAAGCUCACUCGGUCUAAGUGACCGUUUGAGAGAGGGAAAGGGUUGAAAGAUACCUGGUCAUUAUGACCACCUCAACGGGGAGUAGGUUUGCAAGAACUGAACCUCGGUAAAACAAAUCACCGCGUCUCACUCCUUAUUUGCUUGUGAUUUGUUUUCGCCCUCUCUUUCGGACUCGAUUAUAUUUCUAACGCUAACCCCGGCUUGUAGUUGUGCUUAAGUUUAUAAUAUUCAGAUUUCGCCUAUUCACCCCCCCUCUAGGCGAAUUUCAAUUGGUAUCAGAGCCCGGUGCUUCAUUAGAGCCUAACCGCUCGAAGUGAUGUCGGGAGAUCACGCCAAGAAGGAGAUGGUGACUGGCGAGAAGCCCGCUACAAGUCUCGGAAAGGCUCCAUCAAGGGAGUCCGACUCCAAAGGAAAGGGAGAGUCAGCCUCCCACAACAAGUCGCAUCGGAGUGGCGACAAGAAGAAGAAGACGAAGAAGGUGGUCUACUACGAGACCGAUUCUUCGUCGCCAUCUACCUCCGGCUCCGACGCGCCAUCCGUAACUUCUAAGCGCCAUGAGCGCAAGAAGUUUAGUAAGAUCCCCCUACGCUAUCCUCGCAUUCCUAAACAUACUCCUUUACUUUCCGUCCCAUUAGGCAAACCACCGGUUUUUGAAGGUGAAGAUUAUUCUAUGUGGAGUGCUAAAAUGAAAGGUCAUCUAACUUCACUCCACAAAAGCAUAUGGGAUAUUGUUGAGUAUGGAGUGCAGGUACCACAGGUGGGGGAUAAAGACUAUGACUCGGAUGAGGCUGACCAAAUCCGGCACCUUAACUCCCAAGCAACAACUAUACUUCUCUCUUCUUUAAGUCGAGAGGAGUAUAACAAAGUACACGGGUUGGAGUCCGCCAAGGAGAUUUGGGAUGUGCUCAAGACCACGCACGAAGGAGAUGAGGUGACAAGAAUCACCAAGAGGGAAACGAUCGAGGGGGAGCUCGGUCGUUUCAUGCUCAACCAAGGAGAAGACCCACAAGCCAUGUACAACAGGCUAAAGACCUUGGUAAAUCAAGUGCGCAACCUCGGGAGCACCAAAUGGGAUGACCAUGAGAUGGUCAAGGUUAUUCUAAGAUCACUAGUUUUUUCUUAAUCCUACUCAAGUACAAUUAAUUCGUGGUGAUCCUAGAUACAAACUAAUGUCUCCCGAGGAAGUAAUAGGAAAAUUUGUGAGCUUUGAGUUGAUGAUCAAAGGCUCCAAGAAGAUCAUCGAGCAAGGCGCCGCCUCCUCCGUACCCGAGGAACAACCCGUUGCAUUCAAGGCAACGGAGGAGAAGAAAGAAGACUCUACACCGAGUAGGGUCCCCAUCGACGCCUCCAAGCUCGACAAUGAGGAAAUGGCGCUCAUCAUCAAGAGCUUUCGCCAAAUCCUCAAGCAAAGGAAGGGGAAAGAUUACAAGCCCCGUUCCAAGAAGGUUUGUUAGAAAUGUGGUAAGCCCGGUCAUUUUAUCGCUAAAUGCCCUUUGUCUAGUGAUAGUGACAGGGAUAACGACAAGAGGGGGAAGAAGAAGGAGAAGAAGAGAUAUUACAAGAAGAAGGGCGUUGAUGCCCAUGUUUGCCGGGAGUGGGACUCCGACGAGAGCUCCACUGACUCCUCCUCCGACGAGGACGCCGCCAACAUCGCCGUCAACAAGGGACUCCUCUUCCCCAACGUCGGCCACAAGUGCCUCAUGGCAAAGGAUGGCAAGAAGAAGAAGGUAAAAUCAAGAUCCUCCACUAAGUAUGUAACUUCUAGUGAUGCGGAAAAUUCUAGUGAUGAUGAGGACAACUUGCUUACUCUUUUUGCCAAUCUUAACAUGCAACAAAAAGAGAAAUUGAAUGAAUUAAUUAGUGUUAUUCAUGAGAAGGAUGAACUCUUGGAUAGCCAAGAGGACUUCCUUAUAAAGGAAAACAAAAAGCAUGUUAAGACUAAAAAUGCUUAAGCUCUAGAAGUAGAAAAAUGUGAAAAAUUAACUAGUGAGCUAAGCAUUUGCCAUGACACUAUUUCCAACCUUAGAAUUGAGAAUGCUAAUUUGAUUGCUAAGGUUGAGAAGUUAAAUAUUUGUGAUGAUUCAAUUGCCAAUAUUAGAAAUGAUAAUGCUAGUUUAAUUGCUAAGAUUGAUAAAUUGAAUGCCUCUCUUGCUAGCCUUAGGAAUGAGAAUGAAAAAUUAAUUGCUAAGGCUAAGGACUUAGAUGUUUGCAAUGCUUUUAUUUCCAAUCUUAGAGAUGAGAAUGCUAUUUUACAUGCUAAGAUUGUUGAAUUAAAUGAUUGCAAACCCUCUACAUCUACCGUUGAACAUGUUUCUAUUUGCACUAGAUGUAGAGAUGUUAAUGUAGAUGCUAUUCAUGAUCACCUUGCUAUGAUUAAACGACAAAAUGAUCAUAUAGCUAAAUUAGAUGCUAAAAUUGCCGAGCAUGAACUAAAAAAUGAGAAAUUUAAAUUUGCUCGUAGCAUGCUUUAUAAUGGGAGACGCCCUGGCAUUAAGGAUGGCAUUGGCUUCCAAAAGGGAGACAAUGUCAAGCUUAAUGCCCCUCCUAAAAGAUUGUUGAAUUUUGUUAAGGGUAAAGCUCCCAUGCCUCAGGAUAAUGAAGGUUACAUUUUAUACCCUGCUGGUUAUCCUGAGGAUAAGAUUAGGAGAAUUAAUGCCAAGAAGACUCAUUCUCACCAUGCUUUUAUUUAUAAGAAUGAGGCUUCUAGCUCUAGGCGUUCUACACAUGUUAAAAUGCCUAAGAAGAAAUCUCCUAUUGCAUCAAAUGAUCAUAAUGUUUCAUUCAAAACUUUUGAUGCUUCUUAUGUGCUAACUAAUAGAUCAGGCAAGGUAGUUCCCAAAUAUGUUGGGGGCAAACACAAGGGCUCCAAGACUUGUGUUUGGGUACCCAAGGUGCUUGUUUCUAAUGUAAAAGGACCCAAGAUCGUUUGAGUACCUAAGAACAAGGCCUAAAUUUGUUUUAAAGGUUUAUGCAUCCGGGGGCUCAAGUUGGAUCAUCGACAGCGGGUGCACAAACCACAUGACCGAGGAGAAAAGGAUGUUCUCCUCCUAUGAGAAAAACCAAGAUCCCCAAAGAGCGAUCACAUUCGGGGAUGGAAAUCAAGGUUUAGUCAAAGGAUUGGGUAAAAUUGCUAUAUCACCUGACCAUUCUGUUUCCAAUGUUUUUCUUGUAGAUUCUUUAGAUUACAAUUUGCUUUCUGUUUCUCAAUUAUGCAAAAUGGGCUACAACUGUCUUUUUACGGAUAUAGGAGUUACUGUCUUUAGAAGAAGUGAUGAUUCAGUAGCAUUUAAGGGAGUAUUAGAGGGUCAGCUAUACUUAGUUGAUUUCAAUAGAGCUGAACUCGAUACUUGCUUAAUUGCUAAGACUAACAUGGGUUGGCUCUGGCAUCGCCGACUAGCCCACGUUGGAAUGAAGAAUCUUCACAAGCUUCUAAAGGGAGAGCACAUUUUGGGACUAACCAAUGUUCAUUUUGAGAAAGACAGGAUUUGUAGCGCAUGCCAAGCAGGGAAGCAAGUUGGUGUUCAUCAUCCACAUAAGAACAUCAUGACAACUGAUAGGCCACUCGAGCUCCUCCACAUGGACCUAUUCGGCCCGAUAGCUUACAUAAGCAUCGGCGGGAGUAAGUACUGUCUAGUUAUUGUGGAUGAUUAUUCUCGCUUCACUUGGGUAUUCUUUUUACAGGAAAAAUCUCAAACCCAAGAGACUUUGAAAGGAUUCUUGAGAUGGGCUCAAAAUGAGUUCGGCUUGAAGAUCAAGAAGAUAAGAAGCGACAAUGGGACAGAGUUCAAGAACUCUCAAAUUGAAGGCUUUCUUGAGGAAGAGGGCAUCAAGCAUGAGUUCUCUUCUCCCUACACGCCACAACAAAAUGGUGUAGUGGAGAGGAAGAAUAGAAAUCUAUUGGAUAUGGCAAGAACCAUGCUUGAUGAGUACAAGACUUCGGAUCGGUUUUGGGUCGAGGCGGUCAACACCGCUUGCUGCGCCAUCAACCGGUUGUAUCUACACCGAAUCCUCAGGAAGACAUCUUAUGAACUCCUCACUGGUAAAAAGCCCAAUGUUUCAUAUUUUAGGGUCUUUGGUAGCAAAUGCUUUAUUCUUGUUAAAAGAGGUAGAAAAUCUAAAUUUGCUCCUAAGGCUGUAGAAGGCUUUUUACUUGGUUAUGAUUCAAACAUAAGGGCAUAUAGAGACUUUAACAAGUCCACUAGACUAGUUGAAGUCUCUUGUGACAUUGUGUUUGAUGAGACUAACGGCUCUCAAGUAGAGCAAGUUGAUCUUGAUGAACUAGAUGAUGAAGAGGCUUCGUGCAUCGCGCUAAGGAACAUGUCCAUUGGGAAUAUGUGUCCUAAGGAACCCGAAAAGCCCCCACAAGCACAAGAUAACCAAUCUUCCUCCAUGCAAGCAUCUCCACCAACCCAAGAUGAGGAUGAGGCUCAAGAGGAUGAAAAUGAAGAUCAAGAAGAUGAGUCAUCUCAAGAGGAGGACAAUGAUCAAGGGGGAGUUGCUAAUGAUCAAGAAAAGGAAGAUGAUAAAGAUCCAACGCCGCCACACCCAAGAGUCCACCAAGCAAUACAACGAGAUCACCCCGUGAAUACCAUCCUAGGAGACAUUCAUAAGGGGGUAACCACUCGAUCUCGUGUUGCUCAUUUUUGUGAACAUUACUCUUUUGUUUCCUCUAUUGAGCCACACAGGGUAGAGGAAGCACUUCAAGAUUCGGAUUGGGUGUUGGCGAUGCAAGAGGAGCUCAACAAUUUCACAAGGAAUGAGGUAUGGCAUUUGGUUCCACGUCCUAACCAAAAUGUUGUAGGAACCAAAUGGGUCUUCCGCAACAAACAAGAUGAGCAUGGUGUGGUGACAAGGAACAAGGCACGACUUUGUGGCCAAGGGUUACUCACAAGUUGAAGGUUUGGAUUUUGGUGAAACAUAUGCACCCGUAGCUAGGCUUGAGUCAAUUCGUAUUUUACUUGCCUAUGCUACUUACCAUGACUUUAAGCUCUAUCAAAUGGACGUGAAGAGUGCCUUCCUCAACGGACCCAUCAAGGAAGAGGUCUAUGUUGAGCAACCUCCCUGCUUUGAAGAUAGUGAGUAUCCUAACUAUGUUUACAAACUCUCAAAGGCGCUUUAUGGGCUAAAGCAAGCCCCAAGAGCAUGGUAUGAAUGCCUUCGAGAUUUUCUUAUCACUAAUGGCUUCAAAGUCGGAAAGGCCGAUCCUACUCUCUUUACUAAGACAAUUGAGAAUGAUUUGUUUGUAUGCCAAACUUAUGUUGAUGAUAUCAUAUUUGGGUCUACUAACAAGUCUAUUUGUGAAGAGUUUAGUAGGAUUAUGAUUCAAAAAUUCGAGAUGUCUAUGAUGGGGGAGUUGAAGUAUUUUCUAGGAUUUCAAGUGAAGCAACUCCAAGAGGGCACCUUCAUUAGCCAAACGAAGUACAUUCAAGAUAUUCUCACCAAGUUUGGAAUGAAGGAUGCCAAGCCCAUCAAGACACCCAUGGGAACCAAUGGGCAUCUCGACCUUGACACGGGAGGUAAAUCCGUAGAUCAAAAGGUAUACCAGUCGAUGAUAGGAUCUUUACACUAUUUAUGUGCAUCUCGACCGGAUAUUAUGCUUUCCGUAUGCAUGUGCGCAAGGUUCCAAGCCGAUCCUAAGGAAGUUCGCCUUAGGGCCGUGAAGCGAAUCUUGAGAUAUUUAGUUCAAACACCUAAGUUUGGUCUUUGGUACCCCAAAGGAUCCUCUUUUGAUUUAUUAGGAUAUUCCGAUGCUGAUUGGGUAGGGUGUAAAAUUGAUAGGAAGAGCACAUCAGGGACUUGUCAAUUUCUAGAGAGAUCCCUGGUGUCUUGGGCUUCAAAGAAACAAAACUCAGUAGCUCUUUCUACCGCCGAAGCCGAGUACAUUGCUGCAGGCCAUUGUUGCGCGCAAUUGCUUUGGAUGAGGCAAACUCUUAGGGACUAUGGCUACAAAUUUAGCAAAGUCCCUCUCCUAUGUGAUAAUGAGAGUGCAAUCCGCAUGGCGGAUAAUCCCGUUGAACACAGCCACACUAAGCACAUAGCCAUUCGGUAUCACUUUCUGAGAGAUCACCAACAAAGGGGGGAUAUCGAGAUAGCCUAUAUAAACACCAAAGAUCAAUUGGCCGAUAUCUUUACCAAGCCAUUAGAUGAGAAAACCUUUACCAAACUUAGGAAUGAGCUAAAUAUUCUUGAUUCUAGGAAUUUUGAUUGAUUCUUUGCACACAUAGCUCAUUUAUAUACCUUUGAUCAUGUCUCUUUUAUAUCUAUGACUAAUGUGUUUUCAAGUGUAUUAUUAUGCUUAGUCAUAGAAUUGAAAGGGAAAUAGAGUAUUCGGCAACAAAGGCGCUUCCACUCAACUCCAUCGAUAUUUGCCGGUAUUCCGCAUAGUUCUCCACUUUGGUAUAAUCUUCACUCAUAUCUAUUUGUUUGCCAUUGGGGAGAAAAGUUAAAGGGCUUGUAUUUCACUCACAAGUAUCCGUUUUUGGCGAUUCAUGCCAAAGGGGGAGAAAGUAUGAGCCCAAAGCAAAAUAACCACACCACCACCGAAUUUUAAAAUGAAGUUUUCAAAUUGAUAUCUUAUUGUGUUAAAAAGGGGGAGAAAGUAGUAUCUUCAAAAAUUUCUAAAACCCUCUUGAACACUAAGAGGAAAAUUUCCUUUAGGGGGAGUUUUGGUUAAGUCAAAGGAAAAGCAUUUGAAACAGGGGAGAAAAUUUCAAAUCUUGAAAAUGCUUCUUUCAAUCUUAUUCAUAUACCUUUGACUAUUUGCAAAAUGUUUUGAAAAGAAUUUUACAAAGGAUUUGCAAAAAUAAAACUCGUGGUGCAAGCGUGUCCAAAAUUUUAACUAAGAAGAAAAUAAUCCAUGCAUAUCUAUUGAAAUAAUUAUUGGUUUCAAUUCUAAGCAACCUUUGCACUUAUCUUAUGCAAACUAGUUCAAUUCUGCACUUUUAUUUUUGCUUUGGUUUGUGUUGGCAUCAAUCACCAAAAAGGGGGAGAUUGAAAGGGAAAUAGGGUCAAACCUUUUCCAAAUGAAUUUUGGUGGUUUAAUUGCCCAACACAAAUUAUUGGACUAACUAGUUUGCUCUAGAAUAUAUGUUCUACAGGUGCCAAAGGUUCACAACAAACCAAUACAAAGACAAAAGAAAGGGUUCAAAACAAAGGAGCAAAUUUAAACCGAAGGCUGCCCUGGUCUGGCGCACCGGACUGUCCGGUGCACCACCAGACUAUGUCCGAUGCACCAGGGUGGAUCAACUCAAACUUGCCAGCCUCGAGAAUUUGGGGAGGCCGCUCCGCUAUAAUUCACCGGACUGUCCGGUGUAACACCGGACUGUCCGGUGUGCCAACGGAGCAACGGCUACUUCGCGCCAACGGUCGUCUACAAGUGAACAGUAAAAGCAAACAGUGCGCGCCUGCGUGCGCAGGAGUCAGAGCAGGCGCUAGAAGAUGCGUCGAACAGUCUACAGGACCUAUCCGGUGCACCACCGGACUGUCCGGUGGCCCCACAAGUCAGAGCUCCAACGGUCGGAACACAACGGCCUGGUGACGUGGCUGGCGCACCGGACUGUCCGGUGCGCCAUUCGACAGAAGCCUUCACCAACGGCCAUAUUGGUGGUUGGGGCUAUAAAUACCCCCCAACCACCACUCUUCAAGGCAUCCAAGCAUUCAAUACACCUCAUUCAAUACAAGAGCAAUACACAACACUCCAAGACAUAAAUCAAAGCCUUCGAUCGAAUCAAAGUCCCCAAUUCAACUCUAGUAUUUAGGACUUGUGAGGAGAUCGACUUGUGUUCCUUUGUUGCUCUUGUUGCUUGGUUGGCUUUCUUCUUUCUCUCAUUCUUACUCUCAAAACCUUGUAAGCGAAGCAAGAGACACCAAUUGUGUGGUGGUCCUUGUGGGGUCUAAGUGACCCGGGAAAUCAAGGAAAAGCUCACUCGGUCUAAGUGACCGUUUGAGAGAGGGAAAGGGUUGAAAGAGACCCGGUCUUUGUGACCACCUCAACGGGGAGUAGGUUUGCAAGAACCGAACCUCGGUAAAACAAAUCACCGUGUCUCACUCCUUAUUUGCUUGUGAUUUGUUUUUGCCCUCUCUUUCGGACUCGAUUAUAUUUCUAACGCUAACCUCGGCUUGUAGUUGUGCUUAAGUUUCUAAUAUUCAGAUUCCGCCUAUUCACCCCCCUCUAGGCGACUUUCAUGGGGCGGUAGACGCGUGGGGAAGGACGGCCCGUGAAUCAGAUGCUGGGUUCCCAGCCGGCCGUGCGAAUGGCAGGUGGGCCCCCAGCGAUAACACAGCAUAGACGUGCACGAGCGACUUACAAACCGGGUCCACGCAGCAGCGGCAUCGGUUAGAUGGGCCAGCGCCUAGGAGAAGGGAAGAAGUGGGCCGAGUUCAAAGGAGUUGGGCAUAGUCACGGUUUUUAUUCUUUGCUUUUCCUUUUUUAUUUUCCUUUUCUGUUUUCUUUCCCCUUUAUUUUAGAUUUCAGAAUUUAGAUUCUAAUUUGGUUGUGAGUUUCUCAUUUGGGAUAAUUGAACAACUUCAAGUCCAAGCAUAGGAAGAAUCUAGUUUUAUUUAUGUAUUUAUUUUCUGUAUAUAGUAUUUUCUCCCUCUCUUUCCCCUUUUUCUCUGCUAUUUAAAUUCCUAGAUUUGCACCUUGAGCCUUAAAUCUCCAUUUGGAUAUUAUUGUAUUUUAUUUCUAUUGUUAUUAUUAUCCAUAGAUGCACAAACACAAUAUAACCCAGCAUGAUGCGCAAAUUAUCUUGAAAUCACUAGUUAAUUAAUCACUUGAAAUGUAGUAGUUCACAUGUGCUAAUGGAUAGAGGUAAACAUAUAAAGGAUAAACAUCUCCUUUCUUAUACUUUUAUAAUUUGGGUAUUACAUUGCCCCCCAGGGAUCAUGCUUACUCCGAGCUUAUCUCGGAACGUCCCGGCUAUUUCUUCCCUCACUAUAUCAAUGGCAGCCGGUGGGAGACCACCGCCUUUCUGGUCAAACAUAAGUGGGGUUGGCUGGAUAUUAGCAUAUUGUCUUCACCCCCAUUGGUUUGAGCUAUGUGGUGCAUUACUAUUUGCCCUAUAUGGCUCAUAUGAUUGAUCGUUCCUUUCUGGCCUUCUAGGCGGGGCCGGAAAGCUUUCCUGGGCUCGGGAUUCUGUAUUAAUGGGCUGAUGCAUUGCAUAGUGUGAUGGGAAGUGUUGCUGAAACGGGCGAGGAUUUAUGUAACAAUCCUCCUCAAAAAAUUCUGCGUCGAACCGUUCGGUUGGAUAUACGGACUGUCCGGCAGUAUGCGCGGGCUGUCCGGGUAUGUGUCCGGAUCGUCCGUGAUUGUGCGCGGACCGUCCGUUGCUGUAUGCGGACGGUCCGACUGGGUAGUUUAGAGUUUGUGCAGUACGUUGGGGCUCGGAUGUAUGUCUCGGUAAUUCAUUAAAAUUGGGACCGGCCGUUGCUAGCCCGGACGGUCCGCGCUCACGUGCGGACGGUCCGGAAACAUGUGUAGAUCGGCUAAUUUACCGCCAUUUUAUGGUUGCUCGGGGCAUGUGUCCAUCGGCAUCCCAUAAAGGGGUUGUAACUGGUCGUGACAACUUGUAGCCAAUGAAUUACGCGUGUUUCCUCCCAAUUCAACCUCAUGCGAAGGAAAAUUUGCAACAGUAGAUUUAUCAAACGUACGUACUAGCCUCCUAUAAUCAUUUUGCAUAACCCCUAUGAUAUUUUGCAUUUGUUCUCGCUGUUCAUCUACAUAAUUCUUAAGAGAUUGUAGCUCAUUUGUGUGGCUUACCUCGUGGGUAGUCGUGGUAGGACGAAGCGAAGCCAGAUCCGUCGCCCGUUGCUGAACGACCUUGUUGUUUCAGUCUACCUUAAAGUUGGCCAGGAACUUCGCCCUUGCCUCUUGGAUCAGCUGCUCCUUGUGCUCCUCAAACUAGAGUUGUUCGUCAGUCGGUAAGGUUUCCCAAGUCGGCUCUAUGAUAUUGCUGGGGGAGACUUCAGAACUAUCCUUUGAACCGGACAUUGAUGGUCGAUUUGAUGAGUCUAUAUGUGUUGGUCCCCAGCAGAGUCGCCAAAAGUGUGUUGGUGCCUUUUUCGGGCGCUAAUCACUAAGAACUGCGGCGAUGCUCUCUGCACAGGGGCGGACGGUCCGCGGCCAGGGGCCGGAUGGUCCGUGACCUGGCACAGGGCUUUGGUUUUCCUGCCUGGCGGCCGGACGGUCCGCGCACCAGGGCCGGACGGUCCACGCGUGCGUAGGGACGGCGAAGGUCGCCUGCGGCGCUUAGAUCUCGCUCCCGAGAGGGACCCCGUUGGGGAGGAGAGAUCCUAGGUGUUGUCUAGGCUCGGUAGACCGACCUAGACUCCUCUAAUCGACGUAGAGUCAAAGAGAAGCAGGGAAUUUAGGGAUUGAAAGGCUAAACUAGAACUAGACUAGAACUAUUCCUAUUUGUAUAAGAAAUAAACGCGAGAUGAACUGGUUAUUGAUUCGAUUGAUUAUAUCAAAUCGGUCGUAUUCCUCUGUAUUUAUAGAGGAGAGGGGCUGAAUCUGUUACAAACAAACUCUUCAAGCUAAUUCCGAGAAUCUAGUCAACAAACACAGAAAAAAAAUUCGGAACCCUAAUCUGUUCUGCAUGCGCGCGGACCGUCCGGACCUCAGUUUGGUGCUCGACAAGAGUAAUACUUAUGCCUGUAAUGAACCGUUUUUUUUUUUGCCUCGACUUUUGUUUAAAAAAAGAAGCACGUGGACUGACCACUAGGGUGAGAGAGAGAGCUAGCGUAGGGCGUCGUAGCGGCCGGUGCGCGGCGGUGGCAGGCGGGUGCCUGGCUUCCUCCCGUGACCACGCGCGCCUCCAUCGUCCGUCCGCCCGUCCGCUCCUCCGCGCGGCGGUGGCAGGCGGAUCGGGCAUUGACGACGCGGCGGCGGCGGCUGGGCUCUGGGCGCGCGCGCGCGGGGGAGCGGCCUGCGGGUCGGCUCGGUGCCUGCCUGCCUGUCUGCCGUACAUGCGCGCCGUGAUCCCUGGUAUGCGCACGCGUACGUACGUGCGUACGUACGUAGCCUCCUAUCCAAUACAUUGUAUACGUAAUAUGGGCCACCGCUGUUCCGAAUAACGACGGCAUCGGUGAUGGUCGAUUGCACGUACGAAUACAUGUAGUACUGGUACACCUUACCCACCCACACGCACGCGCUUUUAUUAUACGGCGGACCAGGCUCUCUCGCGCAUGCAAAUGCACAACGCUCACUGUCCGUCCGGCCCCGCAAUCACAGGCUUAGGAACCGCAUCACCGCGAACUCACUGCCUGCCUGCCUAAUGUGCAACAAAAAUUUUGCACCCUAAUUUCCAUCCCAGAUCAUCGUGUCAGUUCUGAGAAAGUAAACUACUCAAAAGGGAACGUGAAUAUUAAAGUAAGGGUCAAAGCGCUCCUCGGUGUUUUUUCAGGGCGUCUCAGAGAGUCGGCACUAACCAUUGAUCCUCACUGGAGCACCUCACACAAGAAUGUCAUUCUCACAUCUUCCACACACAAAAAAAAAAGAAACCAAGUGCUUAUCUACAAGCUGGUUCUCCGUUGCUCGGGUACGAUAAACCGCUCACCACCACCACGUACGGCUCCGAGCCAAGUCACCUACAAACUCUCCAUGUGAUGAUCAACGUACUUUCCAAACGCAGUCGAAUCGUCUAGGUCAUGCCAAUAACCAAGAAUAACAAGGCAAGAGCCCUCACUUGACUCUACUAAACCCAAUGAGAUCAAUUGACGCGCCCUGAUUACUUUAGUACUAUAUGCUAGUGAGAUCGUUGAUCAAGCGAAUCUUUAACUCCUAAAUCUCUCACAUCCUAAAUCUCUCACUAGUCAAUGGCUCUUUUUUCAACAUUAAAGUUGACAUAUAUAUGACCGAUGUAUCAGAUAUUAAACUUUAUAUACUGCAUUUUAUCUUGGCCAAAAGGUCGAGAGAAAAAUAUGAGUUUAAAAGAAGACCUGCACCUUUUUUUAUAUAGUUAGCGAUAUGGUACUAUCUGGGAGUGCUUCGUUGCCUGCGGGUUCAUGUUCUGUUUCCUUCCUCAUUCUCCCAUCCCCACAAAACUCAUUCACAUUUCCACGUACAUCUCACGCCUAGCUAAAAUUAAAUUAAAAAACAGGCACCAAGGAGAUUCGAACCUGUGACCCCUCGAGCAAAUGUGCUCAUAGCUACCACUACACCACAUGUGAGUUUAUAUUUAUAUCUAUUAUAGUAAAAACAUAUACUACAUCUCUCCCGAAGCCUACUUCCUACACUUGCACAAUGUGUAGUAGUAGAUAAGUAUCACCGAGAUUAUUAAAUUAUAUUUUUUGAUUAAGGGAGUAGUAUUUAAAGAAGAGUCUUGCAUGAAAUUUCUUUUGUUUGAAUAAUGUUUCAACUUAAAUUCCUUUUUUACAUGUGUGACAUUUAUUCUUCGUAAUAUUUUUUUCCAUGGAUCUGACUUAUAAGUCAUUUUCAUAAACCAAUGCCAAAGAUGAAUCCAUAUUUUUUACUUGGAAACCCCGAACAAACACCACCAGCACGAGGCGCUCGCGUUGGCGUCGCUCAUCGACGACGAGAAGAAGCUUGACGACUACCAGUUUGACCUCUGGAAGCAGUCCUACGUGGCCAAUGUGCCGCUGUGUACGGCAAGCUCCGGCGCAACCGCUGCUUAGACGCAGUCCAGAGCAGUUGUGCCGCGCUAUCCAUCGUCAAAUAGGGGGACCUCAUGGUCGUCGCCAAUGCCGACGACUCUCGGGUUGUUCUGGGCACCGCAACCGACGACGGCGCCAUCACGGCGUCCAGCUCAUCAUCCACAUGAAGCCCAACCUACCACGUAAGUCGCUACCGACCGGCCAUAAAUUCUUGUGCACUGGGAUGAAGGUCAUUAUUGUUGUUGUGUGAGUGUCCUCGAACAAGAUGUAUGUAGAGGAGUAGCACAUCCGGUGGUGCAACGACCAGGUGUACUACCUCGUUGAUGAGCCCGGGGUGCACUUCAUUUGGCAGCUCAUCCAAAAGUCAUCGGUACUCACCAUGUCGCGCGCGUUCGACGACUACUAUAUCAAGUAUUAUGGCGUCAUCUCGGCGCCAGAGGUGACGCAGAGGAGGACCGACAACAAUGACCACUCGCCAUCGUCGAGGUAGCUUUUGUACCGGCAUGCCUUUAAUUCUCUUCGCAAACACACACUUGCCUUUUGUUUAAGCAAGCGUGUAUGGUGGUGCGUUCCUGAUAACUAACGAUGUACGACGGAACUUCUACCGUCAGGUGUGGCACAUGCUCUCCAAUGAUGAGACCAUGCAAAUCAUGACAUAUAUCGAAGUCUGCAUGAUACUGAUGGUUGCAAUGUAGUAGUGAAACAACUAAAUUAAAAUAACAAAAUUUAUGUAUGGCUAGGAUCACAAAUAGAUUAUGAAAUAUUUUCUUAUAACAAUAUAAGACACAUUUUGUAUAUAAGUUAUUAUGGUAUUAUAUAUUUCCGUUGCAACGCACGGGUACUCACAUGUUAGAUUAGAAAGUAGUAUAAGAGCUUUUUUUUUUAAGAAACGACAAUAGAAUUAGUGAAAGUGGUGCUUAAGUAGAGAUUUCCUAAUAUCCCGAACCAUAUGAUGUGUCCAUGUACUGCUCAAACGCAACCACUGCAUGCCAGCAUCCAAAUUAAAAUAAUAGUAUUUCGGCUAAUUACGUAAUUAGUUCUACUGCCUCCACCUGGCACUCGAGACUUGACAGAAUGCCAAGGAAACGCGGAGCCGUAGGGCCCACCUACCAGCAGGUACCCUACCGAAAACAAAAGAGAGAGAGAGAAAGGAAGAAAACAAAACGUUUUCGAUCACAUCAUCGGGCUUGGGCAUGUGUGGAGCCGAAACAGAGCAAAGCAGAGCAUUGCUCCGUUUUCUCUUGGCCGCAAGGAGAAGCAGACGUGCACCGCCAUGGCGGUCAGCAGCUCCGGAGAUCCACGACGAGCUCCCGCAUCAGCGCCUCGAACACGGCCGCCUCUACCUCGGCGCGGACGUCGCGGCGCUCGGGCCCCACGUCGGCGGCGACUAGCCUGGAGGUCGGGAGCUCGGACGCCACCAGCUGAGACGCCCGUGCCAGCUCCCCCGUGUGCGCGUCCCAGUCCCAGUAGGCGGUGGCGGCGGACCUGUCGUCGCGGCAGCUCUUGGGGCUGACGCAGUAGCCGCCGUAGUAGCAGUCCUCGUCGGCGUCGGCGUCGGCGUCCCUGAGGUGGAGGUGCUCGGACUUGGCGAGCAGCGCGGGGCUGUACGCCGCCGCGUCCAGGAGGUUCCGGAAGUCGUCCAUGGCGGCGGCGUCCUUGGACGACGGGGACAGCAGGGUGGCGUGGACGGGGGAGCUCUCGAACGGGUGGUCCAGGACAGAGACGGGGCUCAGCUGCUGCUUCUCAUCGUCGUCGCAGUCGGAGUCGUUGUAGCGCCCCGCGGUGGCGGCGUCCUGCGCCUUGACGACGACGACGACGACGUCGGAGGCGGCGGUCUUUACGGCGUCCAGCUCCACGUAGCACGACGCCGGCGCCACGGCAGCCGGCAGCUUCAAGGAGCCGGAGAAGUGCAGCGCGGCCGCGGCGGGCUUCCGCUGGCGCUGGGCCGCCGCGCUGCUGCCGCGGAGGAUCUUGGAGAGCAAGAGCUGGAGGAGGCCGCCGGCAGCAUGCUGCCGGGCGGGCUUCAGCUUGGCCGCCUUGUUCUUCUUGCUGGCCAGGCGCCUGAGCGCGGCCGCGGCGUCGUUGCCGGCGGCCGGCCAGCACAGCGCGGAGUCGUAGCCGUCGAGGAGGCGCGAGGAGCAGCAGCCCUUUUCGAGCAGGUGCAAGUCCAGGACGAAGGGCUCCUGCUUCUCCUCCAGCAGCUCCGACAGGCGCCGGCCGGACGACGACGGUGACAGACACGCCAUCGUGUAGAGUUGUUGUGUAGGCAGCACGGACCACGGAGAGGUGAGCCGUGUGCGAGCGUUGGAGUCUGAGGAAUGAGCAAACCGAGGGGAGGGCACAUCCGCACAUCACUGUGGAUGCCGGGAGUGCGGGGAGCUUAUAAAUGGAGACAGAGAAGGGGCAUGGCCAUGGCCAACCAACCUGUUCACUAUCCGUACGUGAAAAAAAUGGACAAACAAACAUAUUAUAAAACCAACGACCUUAGCUUGGAACACUUUUUUUUUUGUUGCCAGUUCAUUUUUUUACUUUCAAUUACUUGUAAUUCGUUUAGUGGAUAUCGAGCUAUCUCGACUCAUUAUGGUUCGUUAUUGUAACGAAUUAAACUCGGCUCGGCUCGUUAUACUAACGAGCUAAUCAUCUGGCUCGGCUCGAUUCGUUAGGAAACUCGAGCCAGCUCGUUAGGUUCGCGAGCCACAUAACUAAAUACAAAAAUCUAUGUACAUAAAUAUAUAUAUAUAACCGAAAAUCAUAUUUUAAGUGUUUAACACUACAAACCCAAAACAUUUAUAAUAUUAUUAUCAUAUCAUCGUCCUAGCUUCUAACUUUUAAUAUUAAAUUAAAUAUCCAAAUAUGUAUUAACUUACAGAUUUACAAACUCUUAUUAUAAUAAGAUAGCAACAAGCAUCAUUAUAAAGCAAUUCAUCAUCCAUUCUACGAACAUGUAACAUUUCAUUGCACAACACUAAUAUCAUAUGCUGCUAGAAACAAAGUUUACAAAACCACAAUCAAUAAUCAAAUAUUAAAUAUGCAAUGUAGGUAUGUAGCCAUACAAAAAUGCAAAUAUUUAAGCAUAUUGCAUGUCACAUCCACACAUAUCUAUACCACAGUUCAUAACUACAAGAAAAUAUGACUAUAAGAGAUGAGACGACACCAACGACUAGAUAAAACUUGUGUUGUGGCUUGACUCAUUUGGCUCGUGAGCUAGCUCACGAGCUAACCCGAGCUGGCUCAUUAGAGAACCGAGCUAGAAUGCUAGCUUGGCUCGCUACAAAAUUAAAACGAGCCGAGUCGAGCGAGUUAUCGAGCCACGAGUAUUUCAUCUAGGCCUACUUCCAACCAACUUUAAGAUAGGAAAUAUGCAAAAGAAUGUAUUUAAGUUCGAGGAGUUAAAUAAUCCAAGCAUUAACUAAAUUUAUAUAAAAAGUAUAAACAUUUAUAAUGCAAAAGGAAUACUACUGGAUUAGUGUAAGAAUAUUUUUAGAAUAAAUUUAUCUGGAGAAAUAAAUAACAAUGCUAUUUUGUAUAAAUUUAAUUAGAUUUAAUCUAAAUUAUUAUUCAAUCUAAAUAAUAGAUGGAUGCGAGCAAUGAACUUAAAUUCAAUACCAUAUCUUGAAAUAUAUAACUCAACUCAUAAAAAACAACUCCAACAAAACCUUAUUUUUAUAAUUUGUAAAUAAAAUAUAGUGUUUACUAUGAAGUGACUUAUAUAUACUACACUCAUAUCGUGUCAUAUGCUUGUUUUCUACCUCAUUCACAACCUUUUUCUUUUCUAAUAAUGUAUUUUACUCUCUAAAAUCUAUGGUUUAUGGCUUAACUGUUGAAACUAAAUUUAUUCUUAGUGCUCUAAACAGUUUAAAUAAUAUAGUAUUUUAAUUUUAGAGGCAUUAUUUUGAGACGACUUGUCGGAGAUGCUCCAUCUUGUUUUUAAGGCGUAAUCACUGGGAGUGCUGAAACGUGGUUGUUUCCGCAGUGGGUCGCACACUCGCACCACUCGACACGGAUAGGCGAGCGCGCGUUCCAGUAGAUCCCGUAUUCGUCGACACCGAGGACGCCGCCCACACGAUAGUCGUUCCGCGCGUUCUCAGCUGUCCGCGCUGGAAUCUGCUCUCUCCUCUUUUAUGUGCUCGCGUUCGAUAUCUGCUGCACGCUUCUACAGUUGUCUGGUACGGUGUUGCAUAUCACCCGCGUCCGAGACUGGAUUAGAGAUGGCAAUGGGUACCCGCGACCCGAUACUCGAUGGGUAUUUACUCCAUUAGGGUACGUAUGUGGGUUAAAUAUUCUAUCCGUGUGUUUGUUAUUGGGCAAAAAUCUUCACCCAAUGGGUAAACAGGUAUUAGAACGUUCCGCCUUCACCCAUACCCGUUAACCCGUGGGUAUAAAUUACCCAAUAUAAACUUAGCCCAAGCAUGAACUUGGACUUUAGUCAUCCAUCUUUUUUACUAUUUAACAAUCUUUUAGGUCAUACUGUCAUAUAAGGCUUAACGACAAUUUAAUGAUCAUGUAAUGGAACAUGUAAUGUGCUAUGUAGUACUAUCCUACUUUUACUACUUUAUCCAAUUACCUUUAGUGUGUUGAAUAGAUGGUUAAAUGAUGUUAGAAAUUUUGUAAUGAUAUUUAGAUGGAUAUACUUGGCAUUUGUAUGAUAUAAUAUUUUGAUAGAUGUUUAAUUUUUGUGGGUACGAGUGACCCGAUGGGUGACCCAUACCCGCAUGAGUAUGGAGGUAAAUUCAUACCCACCAGUGUAUAUGGGUGACCCGAUGAGUUAUUUUUGUGUCGUGGGUGUAGGUAUAGGGUAGUAAUACCCGAUAGGUAUUUACCUAUUGUCAUCUCUAGACUGGAUACGAGCGCUAUUGGAGUUGGAGUCAGCCUAAGAACCUAGAUUUUGGAAGCUAUGUGAGAUAUAAACGUGCUAGUUUUUAUUAGUUUGUUGUACUAGUUUUGGUAGUUUUUUUAAUUUUUUUUAAAACUAUUUAUAAAUCUAAGAAAAUUUGACUGACAUAAAUAAUAUAGCGCCAUUCAAUACUAGUUUGGAAACGACGUACGAGACUAUUCGGUUUCCUGACUAAUAAAUUAUAGUGUGUGUGUCACACCGAAUAUUAAAACUAAUUAUAUAUGAAAACUAAAUGAUGAGAUAGAUUUAUUAAGUCUAAUUAAUCUAUUACUAGCAAAUGUUUACUGAAUUAUCAUACGAGCGAACAAUAGGCUAAUUAAAUUUGAUAGACUCGCCUUACUGUUUAGUUUUUAUCUAUGUAAUUAGUUUUCCAACUAAACUAUAUAUAAUACUUUUAACCGAUAUUUAAACAUCUAAGCUAAUGAGACAAAGGUGUUGUUUGGUUCAAGAAAUGUAACGCAAAUGGUAAUGGUUUACGUUCGAUUACUGGCGGUAACAAAUUUAAAUAGGUUGAUAUCAAAUUUUAGUGUGGUAUCUUAUUACGGUUGGACUAAAACAAAUAUGAUUUAACGUUAUCAGUUACCCAUUACGUUACAAAUAUGUGAACCAAACGACACCUAAAUAUUAUUAGUACCUUCGAAUCAAACACCACCUAGGAGUAGUAUCUUAGCUGUUGUGCGUGGAAACGAGGAGAAUGAUGCGACGGAGGGUGGUGUCAAAUCGCCAGGUGGAAAACUGAAAAGGCUGGGGCUGGGAGUUGCAUGGGAUGAGCAGCGCUUAAUUGGCGUGGAGUUGGUGGUAUAUUAAUUCAAGUGCACUCCUCGUCGCUGCAGUGGUUUUGGUUUGUGAAUCGAAUCCUGACGGCGAGCAGAACAGUUUUGCGGCCAGCGUGUGACUGGACUGUGUGCAUCAGGCUGCACAGUUCCCUCGUAUCGCUCGACAGAGAGAGAGAGAGAGAGCAAUAGGAAAUGAUGCAGUGGCGGAGAGUGUGUUUUGGUGCCAGUGCCAUCGCUGCUGCUGCUCACAACUCAACGUUGUGAAGAUCACGGAAUAAAAAGACUAUGUACUUCACAACUCAACGUUGUCUGAAUAGAAAGGGGAGCAAAUAUAUAUAUGUACAAUUCCGGCAUCACAACAAGCUAUCAAAGUCUAGAAACAGAUACAUCGUAUAAAUUUAAAACAAAAAAGAACAAACAGGAAGACAGACAAACAUCGCUACACAGUACUACACACCUCGGUGAUCUUUCCCGUACAUCCUACUUAGCACACGCGUAUAGGAUCACCAACGGAGAUCCGACGGUACCCGAACAUGUGGCGCAUCAGGUUCGGCAGCCUUGCUGCCUCCGCCGGCACCACCGCCGCACCUGCAGCAGCUACGUCUACGUACGCAGCAGGCGCCUCGGUGCUACGGCUACGCUCCUUCCAAGACCUCCUCAUCGUCCGAAGCUCAUCCGCCACCUCCUUCAUCGUCGGCCUCACAGCGAUCCUGUCCGCGUCCAGAACGCUACACUUGAGCGCCAGCCUCCCCAGCUCGUCGAGCAGGGCGACGUCUUCCUCCGCCGUUAUGACGUCCCUGUCGAACAACGCCCUCCCGGUCUCUUCCGUCUCGUACGCUCUGGUGAACCUGGCGAGGAGGCCGUCGUGGCCGCCGUCCCCGUCCCCGUCCCUGCUGACCAGCGCCAUCAGGACGCCGCCGAACCUGUACACGUCGCUCUCCAGGUUCAUCAGCACGGAGCCGUAGCGGGACGGGUCGUCGUUCAGAGCUUUCUCUAGAAGGCUGCCAGUGAUCAUCACUCCAGCACCAACAACAGAAGUAGUCUCGCUCUCCUUGAACAGCGUACAUGACCUCGAGAACUCGGUGAGCUUCGGUACGAGGUUGUUGUCGAGGAGUAUGGUGGACGCCGAGACGCUGCCGUGUCCGGUGACGCCAGUUUCCGACGAAUGCAGGUACUGCAACGCUUCCGCGGUCUUGAUCGCGAUCCUCAUGCGUAGAUCCAGCGGGAAAUCCUCCUGGCUACACAGGAUGUCGAGGAUGCUUCCUUUAGCGACGUACUCGUAGAGGAAAGCGGUGGUCUGGGGUUCCAGACAGCAGCCCAGAACUCUGACGAUGUUCCUGUGGGCGAUCUUGGACACGACCAUCCCUCCGUUGAUGAACGCCUCCUCAGAGCCCUCGUAGACCAAUCUAUGCACCGCCACCAUCGUGUUGUCCUCAAGCGUUCCUUUAUAAACCUCGGUUGCUGAUGUACCUCCACUGAGAAGAUUGGAGUAAUUAUGUGUGACUUCAUUUAUCUCCUCCUUUGUAAAAACCCUUACAUUGUCCCCAAGUUCAGAUAUGACCUUAGAGUAGCUGCUAGCGUUUCCCUUGAAGAAGCUCAGCUUCUUCUUGAAGCUGGGCGAGCUUGAGCCUGCCUGCCUGUACUGUUUGGCCCACAUGGAGUGUGUCGCCAGUAUGGACUGCGGACUGGUCUUCAGUUCUUUCUUGAGCAUCCGAAGGCGUUUGGCCACUUCAUUCAUCUGAGGACGUGUGUGGAUGUUCAGUGACAGGCACUGGGAUGCUAGCUUCCACGACUCUUUGAGGAUCUUCACGUUGUCCUUCUCAGCUAUUGCUGCAUCAAACAGCUCCCUCAGCCCUUUCCCCUUGGCACAGGCUUUGUUGAACGUAGGGAUCAGGUUGACGUCCCCAUACUUUGCCCUCUUCCGAGUCAGUAGCUCCAAGAGGACUAUACCGAAGCUAUACACAUCGCUUCUCGGCGACAGACACCCCUCGUGAAAGUAUACAGGAUCCAUGUAGCCCAUGCUUCCUUUCAAGGUCGUAGUGAACUGGGUAGUGCCACUGAAAAGGAACCUUGACAGUCCAAAAUCUGAUACCUUUGUCGUCAGAUUGUUGUCUAGAAGUAUGUUGGCGGGUUUAAUGUCGCCAUGGUAAAUAUGGUUGUCGCUCUGCGAGUCCAUCGAAUGCAUGUAGCUCAGCGCCUCUGCACACCCUAUCGCGAUGCCCAGCCUCACGUCCAAAGGGAUAGAGGCGUCGCUUCUGUGGAGUAUGUCGUCGAGGUUUCCGUUGGAGAUGUACUCCGUCACCAGCAUCAGAGUGCUUUCGCCAAUGCAGUAGCCUAUGAGUUUCACCACGUUGUUGUGGUUCAUCACGCUGUGGAUGUUCACUUCAUCCAUGAACUCGUCGCGCAAGUCCUGUCGGAUGUAUCUUUUCACUGCCACCAGAUCAUCGUCGGCGUCAAGGACCCCUCUGUAGACUUCUCCGAAACCACCUUUUCCGAUAAGAGUGCUGUAAUUGCUAGUGAUACUUGCGAUCUCAUCUUCUGUGAAAAUUUUGAUUUUUUGACUCAUUGAACCCAUGGGUGAGAUCUGCAGUCAUAAGCUAGUUUUCUUCAUAUUGUGCUCCAGGCCAGUGAUUUGGGUCCCAUGUUCAAGAUCUAAAGUUGAUAGCCUGAUAGAAAAAAAAAUCAGUGUCAUUACUUUCAAGACGAGGUAAAUGUUGAUUCAUCUAACUUCCAUCUGUUAUGUGCAGAGGGUACUGUAUUUGCUAUUAGUUUCCUACAAGACCUGAACAUUUCAGUUAGCAUAGCGCACAACGUAAUGAAAAAUAUUUGCCCUUUUGUUUGAGACAUGAAUGAAAUUCGACCUAUGUGCUUCUGUAGAAUCCUAUAACAUUUUGUUGAGAAUUAAAGGAAUUCAACGAGGACAAUUCAUGGGUUUAUCCAGCACUUGUUAUUACCCCAGCUGCAAUGUACUACUAUCUUUCAUCUUCGUUUUGUUUAAGAACACCAACAAUCCAAAAGGGUUAUCUAGUUAGUUUUCAGUAGGAAUUCGAAUCGCGGGUUUUGCUCAGCUGAGCCGAUUGGAUUGCUCCGAAGGAAAAUCUCUGGUCAUUCCUACAAAAUAAAAUGGAGCCACCUAAUGGAUGUAAUUCAUAGGCAACCUGGGAACUCAAACUUCAUAGGCAAGUUGGCGACUUUCAGUUUCCUCCUAGUUCUAAAUCUCAAGAAAUUACCCACAACAUCCCUAGGACGUCUCAACAACUCUCCUCUACCAUUACGUAUCACACCACUCUGCACAAAGAUUGACGGUUGGGGCAAAACAAAACAAAUAAAAGCUCUAAAAUUAUCUCGACGAAAUGGUUUCCUGCGUCUCGGAGAAGACAGACAGAGAGAUUCAGAUAGGGAAACGUACCCUGCGACGGAGACCACCCGGCCCGACUCCGACUGGCUGGCCGGCCGGGCAGCCGGGGCCUCGCCGGCCGAUGGGCGCCCCGCUGAUUCCACCACGAAACUUCGCCGCCGCCCGGGACGUGGCGCCGACGGCGAGCAGCUUCGCCUUGCCUCCUCCCUCCUCAACCUGCGGCCUGUACCUCUGGCACUCUGCAGUCUGCACAAAGACUCGGCAUUCGGAAACAAAACAAUAUAUGAAACUUGAAAGCUCCGCAGGCAGCUGGCGUCGGGGCUGCGUUGACCGCGGCGCUGGACUUUGAAAAGUAGUACUAGAUGCGACGGAUAAACAGAAUUAAUUAGCUGAGUCCAUCUAGUCUUCGUGUUAUUUAUGAGUAAACACCGACGUCCUCUGUAUCUGUCGCGGUCAUCGCCGGAGAGCCUUCGCCUUCUCCGUCGCCGUCACCAAUGGGUUCCGUAUUCAUGGUUCCUGAAAAUUAUUUCGAGAGCGACAACGGAUCGCGUCGCCUUCCAGAUUCCAGCCUCGCCCUAGGUGAACCAAGGGAUUUUUCUCUCUUCGGCAAAAGAGAGAUGGCGAUGGCUGCUGGCAGCUGGCUGGGCAAAAGGUAAUUUGUGUCUUCAGUGUCUGCACUUUAACUCUAACCCUAAUCCUCGAGCUGUUUCACGUCCUGCUUCUUGCAACACGGACGACAACCUGAAGCGGCCUUCUUGCAGCAGCACAGAGGAUUUAUUUAUUUUUAAUCUUUUUAUUUUUAUUUUUAAAAUAGCUGCGCUUGUUUGUUUAACCUUUUAGCCACGUCAAUGUGUUUGGCGCAACAAAACCACUAUAAAUUUAUCAAUAUUGUGUUGACGCCGAAUUGUAAAUAAAUCUUUUUUCAUAUGGUACAAGGACACCACUAUACACGUGUGCAAUGCACACGCUAAAUUGAUUAAGAGGUAUAGACCUCAAGUAGGUGGGCACACGUAAUACCAUUAGACACACGUGUGUACCUUAUUUCUGAGAAAGUUAAAGGUGUGUCACCUAGGGCUCGAACCCUGGGCCUUGAGUGUCUAAAAGUGGGACAACAAAUAAAAGACCAUAAAAAACAUAAAUCUUUGAACGCCACUUUAUUUCCGACGACCUCCAGGGCUUGUCGAAAGUAAAGAUAAUGUCCGACGACUUCCUCGCGGCGUCGAACAUAAAACAAUAUUCGAUGUUGUCUCUCUCGUCUCUCUCUCCCUCUUGUCGUGUGCCAAUGCCUCACAUCUAGAGUUGAAAACGGACGGGUAAAAUUCUGUCCCGACCCGUACCGUUUUCUACAUUUGUCGGUGUUUCGGACCCGGGGGACCCUCAACCGAACCGACUAGUAAAUUUUGUGUUGCAUGCCCCUGUCCAGAUGGGUUGAUGCAAGAUGGAACACAAGAGGAGGAAUGAGGCUUAUAUUAUCUUGCACCGGGGUGCUUGCAGUAGGGGUUACAAGCUUCGCGAGAGAGGGAACGAGUCCUAGGUCUCCUGAGAAGUCUAGUGUUGUGGAGUGGAGUUUGACGUUUGAGUGGGUCUGUCUCCAUCGUCCUUAUCGCCCGUGUCCCCCUCCCUCUCCCUUGAGAAGGUUCUGGGCAUCCCCUUUUAUAGAUACAAGGGGAAGGCCCAGCUGUACAUAUGGGGGUGUUGCUAUGUGCUAACGUGGCCGGUGGAGAAGUGCUUGAGCCCUGUAGAAGCGUAGCUGGCGGUGCGGCCCUGGGUCCUGCUGACGUUUCUUUGCCUUCAUAGAGAGCUUGAGGACUAUCGACGUCAUGGAUGCAUGCGGGGAACCAUCAUUACUUGUGGCCGGAGUAAUCUAGAUGUGACACCGGUCUUGUUCCUUCGUAGCCUGAGGCGGCUAGCUAGAGGUAGGGUAAUGAUGUAUCCCCUGUAGAGUAGUCGGUCCGAGGCCGAGGUCGGGCGAGGCGGUGACUUCUCCUGAGGCCGAGGCUGAGGUCGGGCGAGAUUGUGACUCCUCCCGAGGCCGAGGCUGAGGUCGGGCGAGGCGGAGACCUCCUCCCAAUAGCACUGGGCAUAAAACCCGAGCCCGAAGCCCUGUACCCGAAAUACCCGAACCCGUACCCGUAUAGCCCAAUACCCGUUACCCGAAUAGCAUUUGCGGGUAACAAAACUAAAUACCCGAAUUAAAUUCGGGCCUAAUCGGGUAUUAUGCUACGGUACCCGAAGUACCCAUACUACCCGAAGUCUGCUGGCAGCGCGCCAUCGCCCCUCAGUCCUCACGGUCACGGACUCACGGUCUCGCGGAUAGUGGCCCAAGGCCCAAGCAGCAGCGCGCUGCGCGCCAGAGCGCCCAAGCUCCCAGUCCCAGCGGCCCAGCCCCAGACGGCCAGAGGCCCAGAGCUAGACGCAGACUCCCAUCCCAAUUCCCAGUCGGCCAGUCGUCCACGCUCCACGGCCAGACCCUGAGAGCUGAGACCGUGAGACGCCACAAACGGCAAACCCUAGCUGGCUAGCUCCCUGGAGGACUGGAGGUGACGGCUGCUGGCUGCAAGACUGAAGGCUCCGACGCUGUCGCUCUCGCUCCGAGGUCAGCACUCAGCACUCGGCAGUCGGCACCAGGCAAGGCAAGGCAGCAAGCCAGCAGCCCAGCACGACGGUCGCCGGCGACAGGCGACCAGCCAUCACCGCGUCAGGUGGCCAGCGACCAGCGUCCAGCGGUACAGGCGUACAGCCAUUAGGCGGCCAGCCGGCCAGCGCCCUCGGCCAGCGGCAGCGCGCACCGCCCAGCUGGCCAGCUUGACAGCAUCAGGCGGCCAGCGCCCUCGCCCCUCGGCCAGCGCCUAACGCUCCAGCAGCCAAGUCGUCGUCGGCAAGCCACUGCGCCAGUUCAUGGCUUGGCUUCAUGCUGAUAAUCUGGUAUGAAAUCACCUGGCCUUUUUGUUCUGCGCUAAUUUGCUCAAAUCUCUGGACUGAAAUUGGUGUUGUUCCUAAUUGAAAUCCUAUGCUGAAAUCUCUGGACUGAAUUGGUGUUGUCUGCCUUUUGCUGUUGAACAGGUACUAGUAUGGAGACAUGGAGAUUGGAGAGUGGUCCUGUGCGGUGCUUACUGCUUAGUGCUUAGUGUUGUCUGAAUUGGUGUUGUGCGGUGCUUAGACAUGGAGAUAGGUACUAUGGAUUGAAUUGAUGUUGUCUGUUCUGUUGUGCGGUGCUUAGACCUGACCACCUGUUGUCUGUUCUCUAUUGACUGUUGUGCUUGUGCCAUUGUGCACUUGUGCCGUUGUGCGCCUUGUGCCUGAGCUAGUGCCUGUGCCACACUGCCAGUCUGCCACUGCGCAAUGCGCAUGCCGCAUGAUGCCGUUCAGGCGUUCAGCUAUGGACUGAAGCGGUGAAGCCUGAGCUAGUGCGGACGUGCGGUGAAGCCUAAGCUAGUGCAGACGCCUGAUGGCUGAUGUCUGAAGCCUGAUGCCGUUCAGCUGUUGUGCACUAUUUCACUGUUUUAAUUUUUAAAUAAUCUGUGACUGGAAUAUUGUUUCACUGUUUUAAUUUUUAAAUAAUGUGUACUGUGUCUGUGUACUCUAUAGUCUAUAUUCUCUCUAUUAUUGUUUCACUGAAAUAUUGACUAUGGGUAUUUUGGUAUUACCCAAACCCGUACCCGAAAUUACGGGUACCCAAAAUUACGGGUACCCGACAUUACGGGUACGAGUUCGGGUUUAGAUGUUUAAAACCCGAAAUAUAAAAAACCCAAAAAACCCGACCCGAAAUACCGGGUAAACCCGAACGCCCAGCUCUACCUCCCAAGGCCGAGGCUGAGGCCAAGGCCUGGGGUCGGGCGAGGCGGAGACCUCCUCCCGAGGCCGAGGCCUGGGGUCGGGAAAGGCGGAGACCUUCUCCCGAUGCCGAGGCUGAGGCCGAGGCCUGGGGUCGGGCGAGGCGGAGCUCCCUGUUGCGCCCGAGGCUGAACUCGGGAGAGGCCGUGACUCACUGUUGGUAGUCUUACCCUGGUGGUUGGCACAGUAGUCGGAACGGGGUAAAUAGUGUUGUUUUCCUGUCAGAACGAUCAGUAAAGGGGCGAAGUGACUGCGGUCACUUCGACCUUGCCAACUGAGGCGCGCAUGUCAGGAUAAGGUGUCAGGUGAUCCCUGCAUUAAAUGCGCAUGC
rnacentral:lncRNA from 1 species